rnacentral:lncRNA from 1 species
AAAAAAAAAAGGGUUAUUCACAAUAUUUGAAAAUGAGCAUUUAUUCUAUGACAGAUUGAACUAUUUGAUUUCUUGCUGAUUGAUAUUUUAAUUUGUUGCAGCCAUGUUGUGAAUGAGUAUGUUAAAGGUGUGAGAGACUUAGGAUGCGAGAUUCUUGACCUAAUCGGUGAAGGUUUAUGGUUACCAAACAAAUCUGUGUUUAGUAAUCUCAUUAGAGAUGUCCACAGUGACUCGGUUUUGAGGAUCAAUUACUACCCUGGAGUCCAACACACUGAAAACCGAGAACUUUCAACAAAAUCGCACCCUUCAAAUAACCGAAUUGGAUUUGGAGAGCAUUCUGAUCCUCAGGUCUUAACCAUCUUGAGAGCCAAUGAUGUCGAUGGCCUUCAAAUCUCUUUGCGGGAUGGAAUUUGGGUACCUGUUUGUCCCGACCCAUCUGCAUUCUACGUGUUGAUUGGCGACGUUUUUCAGGUAAUUAAUUAAAUAUAUAUCACAUUGUUUCAUUUAUUAAAUUACAUAUUCUAAUCGGUUUUGUUAAAUGAUUCAGCUAAGUAGCAACACGAUUUAAAGUUUUUGUAUCAUGUAAUAAAAAACACAAUGCUUAACAAAAUAAAAACGUUUAGUACUUAUUUUUGUCCUCAUAUAGAACACUAUAGUCGUUUUUGCACGUACUUACACACAAUUAGUUAAUGGAAGACAAGCAUUUGAAGCCACAUGUAUUUAGGGUUAGAAAAGUUCAAAGAUUGUUGAGGUUUGUUGUCUUUUGUUUUGAACACAGGCAAUGACAAAUGGAAGAUUUGUAAGUGUGAGACAUAGAGCAAUGGCAAACAACUCCAAGAAUCCAAGAAUGUCAAUCAUGUACUUUGGGGCACCACCAUUGAAUACUUGGAUUGCACCUCUAUCAGAAAUGAUGCUUCCAAAUGACAAAUCUCUAUACAAACCUUUCACUUGGGCUCAGUACAAAAAAGCUGCCUAUUCUCUUAGAUUAGCAGAUUCACGUCUUGAUCUCUUCAAAGCUUUCUAAUAUUCAUAAUUACUUGCAACUCAAUCACCACUUACCAUAGCACAUAUUUUUGUAUGUACUUGAAUUAUUGUAAGUUACUUUGUACAGUGAAAAUUUUAUAUGGAAUGGAAAAAGAGGUUCUUUUAGAUCAUUUUAUUUUGCUUCGACUCGAUGAGAAUUGAGUAGAUAGAUAUAAAGUUUGACCAUUCGAACAAAAAAAACAUUGAAAUAAUAUAUAUUUGUAUGAAUGAAGAAAAUUUAGAUAACUCCACAAAAACGACUUGCUACCAAUCAAUGCCAAAACUAAGUUUUAUCUUCUAGUUGGUUACUUAGUUUCAAUCCCAUUGUAAGUUAUCAAUCAAAGGAUUCCAUUAAAAGAGCACUAGACUUGCAAUCUGCUCAGGUCCUACUCAUCUGAUUGAAUUGAAAUAACGGAUGAAACUGAUGCUAAAUAUUAUACUUCAAAUUUGUUUGACUUAGCUUGCCUUAGUCAUUUUUGUGAUGGGUUUAAGCAUUUUUGUCAGCUUGGUUUUGUGGUAGGAUUGAAAAGUUUUAUGGCUAAGUUUGACCUACAUUGCAAUUGGAGUUUGUUGUCCAUAGUCUACGCCUUAUGGCCUUAUCUUAGGCCCUGAUUCACCCUCACUACUAAGUACAAAUGUGAAAAUGGACCUUUUUUCUUAACUUUUUGCUUAAUCGUUCGUUACAAGCUCUAUUAUUGCUUGUGCCAAAUGAUAAAUGACAUAUAAUACAAAGUUAUAAAUAAGUGAAUACCAAUUUGCACAAAAACAGAACAAGAUACUGAUCUUAGGAAUCUUCUUCGACCUCGUCCUCGUCUUCGGCCUCGGCCUCUCCUGACCCAUCCCACCACGAAACAGGACCCAAUCCAUCUUGGUCAAGUGAUGCCUACACCAACCCAAAAAAGGGGGGAAAAUACCUUAUUAACAACAUAGUUGACAUGCAAUGGAAUGAACAUAAUAUUGCUUUUGAAUUUACACUGACUCUACUACAAAUCAGUCUUCCUUAGACUAAUACUACAAACACAUUUAUCAAUAAGAUAAAGUAAAGGAAAUGGUUGAAGUUGAGAGUGAGUGACAUACAGUAAUAACCAUGGGAGCGAAUGGUUUUACAUUAAUACUCUCUUUUGGUUUCUCCUCCAUUGGAAAUUUUGAAUUACUCUCUUUUGGCUGCUCCACUAAAAUUGCAGGGUACUCUAUGCUGUGUACUUUAAAUUUUAUCUGCCAUUUCAAAAAACCAAAACUAAGAAUAUGCACCAUCACCAAAAUUCUCCAAAAUGCGUACUCUAUGUAACCUAACAAGCAUAGACACAAUCUUCUUAGACACAGAUAUGAAACAACACACCAAUAUGUUAAUUUCGAAAUAUCUAGGAUACAAGAUACGUUGAGGAGACAAUUUUUUUUAAAAAAACUUUGUUUAUUUAAAUCUUUGGUUCAAAAUAUGGGCUUUCCUUCUGUUUUGUUAACAUAUAAUUCCACAUGUCAGAAAUUACGAAUAAAUAUAUAAAAAUAGGACACGGUCUAAAGCGUGUCCAAAAUGGAUACUCCCACCUAAAAUAGAGCGUUUGUUCUGCAACAUUAUCUCUGCACAACAGUAUACAUCAUAUACGUUUUCCUUCAUGUUGUGCUUAUUGUAUUUAGAUUCCCACACUACUAAGUGUUCAAAAAGAAAUUGAGUAGGUCUUUUGCAAAGUUAAAAACAAAUCAUUUAACAGUUUAAGAACCUAAAUGAAAUAAGUAUAAAAGUUUAGGACUAACACUGGAUUUAAGCUUAUCCUAAUUGACAAACCUCAUCAGAUUCAUAUAUGUCGAACGGUACUUCAUUGUAGAUCCACACCCAUCUGCAUCUUCCACUGCAAUUGUUGCAAAAAGAAUAGUCACAAAUAAUAUUUUAGAUAUAUCAACAAUAGAAAUUAUAGUUCAAUAGAAACACCAUUUAUAUUUUUAGUUAGUGGCUGUAAGUUGCACAGGGGAAUUACCCAUUAUUUUCAUCUGGUGUGAAUUCAGAUCCAGAGGGCAUAAGCUCAACCGGAACAUAAAUAUCCUCGAAAAAUCCAAGUGAUACUGCAAAUUUAGCGUACAUCCAUCAUCAUCAUUGUCCAUUCCAAAUUUAUCAUAUGUUGCGCUCAUAAAGCAAGAACAAGAAGUUUAAGGUAACUCCUAAAGACUUCAAAAGAAUUUACCCAAUUCUAAAUCUCCAAGCUGACAGGAACCCAAACCAAAUUUCCAAGCACGUUAUCAAUCAUCAACAUGAAAACAUAACAAAAUACUUGUUCCUUUCUGUACAGUUAACCAUGACCCUUUCUGUACAGUUAACCACCAGCAUUUCUAACAUUGCCAAGAAUUGAGAAUAUAGAUCUAGACCAUUGAAUCAAUCAGCAAAACAACUCAUUUUGGAAAUCAACACCAGAGCUCUUGCUAAUCACUAAUGAACCAACCGCCUCAAAAGACUUAAAACAAAGGGACUAAUUUUAAAUGUAAACUUAAUAUGAAGAAAAAUGUGACAAGAUUUAAAAUGUUAGACUAAGACAUUCAAAUCAAAAGAAAAAAAAAAUCAUUACAGAGAAAUAUCCAUUCUUUAAGGAGGUUAAAAAAAAAAGAUAUUACAUACUUCGCAAACCAUUUUCAUUUGAUUCUUGAACUUUUCCAAUAAUUACCUCCCCUGUGAAUGGACGAAACACAAUCAACGUGAACACAACCUGCCAAAAUAUUCGCACAUAAAACUCAGGUCAUCAUAUUUCCAAUGAAUAAAUAUCCCGAUGUAGUUUUGACAAAAAUCUAUGAUUUCAAAUGACAAGAAUAGUAAAAAGACAAAUAGUUCAUAAGAUAGAUGAAUAAAGAAGAGACCAAAGUUUACUGAUUAUGUGAUUUCGACUUUACAUGUUGAAGCACACAAGCAUUUUCCUGUUGUACUUGAUAAUUAAAGUAUACCUUACAUGCUACAUACCAAAUAUGCAAAUAGAUUUUGGAUGUUCACGAGUGUCUAAAUUAGCCUACAUGUCUCUCGACUAAUUUCGAGGAAAAACUAUUUAGAUGUCAUGAAACUCGUAAUAUAUUACAUACUAGGUAGGUGACCACCGUGGAUUGAACACAUUCAUUCUAAGUUCUUUAUUAAAUCCACGACCCUUUCUGAUCUACCAAAAUUAUAUCAUACAUACAUAAGCACUGCACUGACAAUAAGUAACAAAGAAACUUCAAUGUAAAGGUUCAAUCUUUAAAGAUAAAUGCAAGAAUACCUUGUAUGUUGCAGCACCAUCACUGGGAAAGAUAAAGCCCCCAUCAACCGAUCUUAUAUCAUAAACAGAAAUACAUAGCCCCAAGUUUGCAACCACCUACAUGACAAAGCUCAUCUCAGUAAAAGUGUUGAUCCCAAGGCACAUGGUAAAAUUGAAGAAGGUUAAUAAACAAGCUUACAAACAAAAAAUACACGAACCUUAUCUAUGAAUAGUUUCUCCAGCUCACCCUUAAUAGCAUCAAGGAUAGGUAAAUUAAGCAAGCUUGGAGGUACACGUAGUGUGUGCUCAAUUCGGCUAAGAUAGAACAUCUGGAUGUUCUAUAAAGCUAAUAGUUCCAAUCAAAACACAAUUCUUCAGGCUCUGGAUAAAGGAAACCAAUGCAAAACAUCAGAUUUCAAGCGAAGGUAUAAAUGAUAAGGAAAAUUCCAUACUACGUAAUGUAUAAAACAGAAACAAAACUGCCACACAAGAACUAAACUCAAAUAAUUACAAUUACGAAAACUCAGAGCCAAUGUAUCUAAAAAACAGAGACAAGAAAACAAGAAACUACUAAUAAUAAUAAUUAAAAAAAAAAAAAAAAAAAAAAGAGAAAACGUCACAGAAUUAAAUCAAAUGAGAAGAAAGUAAUGUAGAAACAAAGCAGCAGAUCAAUUCAGCAGAAAACAGAGAGUUCAAACCCAAGUAUGAAAACAGCGGUGAAUCUUACAAUUAAAUAAACCAGAGGAAGGGGUCUUCUAAAGACAAAAAAUUUAGAGGAAGAAUGAAACGGGUUUUGAGAGAAAGAAUGAGACGGAGAAGAAGCGUGAGAUAAUGCCUGAAAGAGAGGUCGAGAGAGAGAGGAAGAGGGAAAUAGAUAAAAAAAGAUAAAAUUUGAGAGACACGGGUAAGAGUAGAGUAAAAAUAUCCAGUUCACACUGGGUACUCGGUGCGGCGAUACUGAACGGAAAAACACGGCGGAGCCGGCUGUAAGGGUGAAAAGUGAGAGAGGGAGGUGAAGCACGUGUGAAGAGAGAAAGAAGAAGAUGAAAAUGAUGGGCUUUAGGGCUUUUUCUUUAGGAGAAGUAAGCCGAGUUUUUGGGCUACAUCAAUGGACUGGGCCGACUUCUUUUCUUACUAUUUCAAAGGGAUACUUAAAAGCAAUUAUUGGAAUAAUAAGAGAUAAUUGCAACAUUUUAAAUAUAGGAUUCAUUCCUUUUGUUUGGUUGAUGAGUUUGUUUCUCUAAAGAAGAUGUUAAUGUGAGUUCAGCUCAUGGUAAUUGACAUCUCAUUUCAUGCAUUUAAAAUCUCACCUAGAGGUCACAAUCUUUUGACAAAUCUAUCAUUAAAACUGAACAUUGAAUAGAUUCUAACUUUUUUUUUUUUAAUUCUUUUUAGGAAAUAAACAUUAUUUCUUUUCUUUUCAUUCUUUUACAAAAAUUGUACUACAAAGGAAACGUAUAUGUUCAUGUUAAAUUUUUUCCACAUAUGACAAGGGAGUACAUAAAUUUCAACUUUCAAUUUUACAAUAGUAAAUAUCACAAAGGGAGGCUGUAUCCAAAUAUUUCAUACUAGAAUGAAAAUUAAUAAUUAUUAUACAUCAUAAAACUACUUAAAAUAAAAUUUAAUUUUAUUAUAAUUUAUAAAUAUUUUAGUUCUAUUAUACUCUUAUCUUAUAUUUGAAAAUAUUCCAAUAAAGUAUGCAUUCAUUUUUUUUAUUUCAUUGAAUCCAAAGAAAGAUUUAAAAAGAAAAAAAAAUAAUCUAAAACGUAAAUCCAUAAUAUCUAAGUUUUCGAAAGAAAAGAAAACUAAUUGGACUCAAUUUUUUUUAAGAAAAAGAAUUGGAUUCAAAUUAGAGUUUAUUAAAAAAAUAUCAUUAAAUUUUUAUGGAUUAUAACAUCUAUCUAAGUUUAUUAAUCAGUGAUCAUAAGAAAAAUAUGAAAUCCAUUUGAGAGGAAAAGAUAUUGAAUAUAAAUAAAGUUGAUUUUCAUAUUUUUCUAGAAAAAAUAAUUCGAUUAAGUUAGUCGUGAAUAGAAAACAUUCCUACUUAGAUCCCAAUAUCAAAGAUACUUCGAUAGUAAAUAGUGCAAAUAACUUCAAUGAGUUAGGGUGAGAAUUAUGUUUUAGGUGAAACCUCGAGUUAAGUUAAUAUAGUCGGUGGAUUAUAAUAUAUAGUCAGUGUUUAGAUUAGCCAAUAUAUGAUAUCCAUUAAUAUAGGAAAACUUCUAAUUGGUGCUUCAAACGACUUCUUAGUUAUUUAAAUUCUUAGCUAACAUAUAAACAUUAAAAGGCCGUUUGAGACAAUGAUUAUCUAAAAACUAUAACAACUAUCUCGGGAUAUAUUUAACAUUAUUUAAAAAAUCUCAUUUACUACUUGUUACAUUUUUUACUAUUUUACGCUCAUCAUUUUUUUUAUUUUUUUACGAUAGUAUUUACUAUUUAUUUUUUUAAUUAAAAUAGUUGACAUCUUAAAUACAUACUACUAUAACUCAAACUAAAUUAAUAUACUAACAAACAUAAACUAUAUAUUAUAAUUCUAACUACAUAAUAAUCAACUUAUGGUCUUAAUGUGCCCUAAAACUCAAGCAACAAUUUUAAAUAAUUCAAAUAUUGUCAAAUUAGAUAUAAAUUUGAUAUUUGUUUAAAGACCCAUAGAUAUAGACACAUAGUAAAAGGAAAAAAAAAAAAAAAUGAUAUUUUCACUUUGUUCUCUAAUAUUUGAUAACCUCCAUGUAUCAUCUUUGAGUUCAACCUCAUCCAAUAUAGUGCCAUUUAUAUGAUCAUGAAGUCAAAUAUAUAAUGGCUUAUGACCUACAAGCAAAUCCAAAGGCCAAUUUUGAAUCAAAUUACUAAACUAAAACUAACAUUUGAGUUUAUACUCAUCCAUACACACACAUUUAUAUAUAUAUUGCAAUAUAUUAAUUCAAGAUAGACAUUUUUUCUUUUGAAUUUUGGGUUGACCUAAAAAUUUGAGGCAACUAGCCUAACAAAUAAUAUCCUUAACCUAACCAAAUCAAACUUGUAUUAUUAUUUUUCCUUUGCUGACCAAAACUUGUAAACCUCUAUAAUGACCUUAUUGAUUAGGGUUAGGUUGAUCAAAAUAUAUCUAUAUAUCUUUUGAAUGAUCAAAUUAUAAUAAAUAAAUGCAAAACUCAAUAUAUAUUUGAAUGAAAUCUAAAACUUCACUUAACUCAAUCUAAUUGAAUCCAUUGGUUGGUUUUAAUCAGUUAGCCAAUAAAAACAAAGGGUUAACUUUUUUGUAGGCUACUCAUCAAUGUAGGGUUUAGCCAUAAUAUUAUUGAAUAAUUUUGUAGUGGAAGAAAGAAGCUUCUAGUUUGACUUUCAAAAGAGAAGAAAAAAGAAUGCUAUGUUAUAUAUUAUAUAGUUUUGUAUAAUAUGAUUUACAUUAUCUAAUAAAAUAUAAGAAAAUAAGAGUACUAGUGGAGUUGUCUGCUAUACCAUUGUAACAUGAAAUUAUCUUUGCUAGUUUUAACCAUAUAGAAUAUUGAAUGAUGGGAAAAAUUGAACUUUUUUGUAACUAAAUAUAAUAAAAUUUUACCAAGGAGUAAUUUGUUGAGUCAUUUUCACAUACAUACUUGAUGGUGUAGGGUCAGAAUUGUAUUCCUUUUAUAAAUAGCUUUAAUGAUGAUUGUAAAAACACUAAUGUCGCUUCGUUGAUGAACUUAGCUAACUGUAUUUGUCGUAUACUACUUUUCUAAAGUUAAUUAGAGGAACCCUCACGAUAUUUUUAUGUGUAUAUUAUAUAGUAAAAAAAUUAUUGUAAAUGACAAAACUGUUAAAAAUAUGUAUAAAAUAUAGUAAAUUUUAUAUUUUUUAGACACUGAUAGUUUUUUUUAUCAAUAUUUAUCAACACACUGAUAAGAUACGCUUAUAAAAGUAUAUAUUAAUGUUUAUCUGUAUCUAUCAUCGUUGAGUUCUACGAUUUUACUACUAACAAAAAUGUUAUUAUUCUUUUAUUUUUAGAAAAUGAGUACUAAUUAGGUUUCUUUUUAGUUGAGUUAAUAGUUUCAUAAUACUUACCUUAAUUUGCCUAAUUUAAUACGACAGAAAAAGUAUUAGUAAUUGAUUUAUUAUUUAGUAGCUAGCAUUGUUUUUCUUCUCUUAAAAGUUUAUUUACUUGCAAAAUUUCUUUUAAUAAAAUCUAUUUUUUAAUUAACAUUAAUAAUAAAAAAAAUUAGUCAAAAAGUUUUAACAUAAAAAACAGCUUUCUUUCCGAAAGUUUAGUUGAAAAUGUCAAAUUUUCCUUAAAUAAAUAAGUAAAAAAGAAUUAAUUUAAGUGUUAAUCAUGAUCAAAUGCAAACAUGUGCCCUUUAAUUAGUAUUCUUUUUUUUUUUCUUCUUCUUAAUGUAUAAGAUUGUUCAUUAGUGUUAACAUAUAGAAAACGUUUUCAAAUAAUUAGCAAAAUAUUAAACUAUAACACAUUCUAAGUUAGGUAGCUAGAUAAAAAGUAUAUAUUAAUUAGUGUAUACAAAACCAUAUCUAUCAUUUUUUUUAUACAAGAAAACAAAAAUCAUUUUGGUCCCAUAUUUUGAUCCUUAAAUUUAUGUUUCUUUUUUAGAAAAAAAAUUAAUGUCAUAAGUCAAUAAAUUAUAUAUUGUAACAUGUUAACACUUCUACAGAAAAAAAAUUCAAGUAGAUAAGAUUACAUAUCAUAUCAUUGACAUCUUAAAAGAAUAAUAUAUGUGUAUAAGUACAAUAUAUAAAAGCCAUGAAAUGAGAAGAACAAGAGAUUUAGGGUUUGCUCGAUAUGGAAGAAAAAUUCUAAAUAUGGUCUAAUGUUGGAACAUGAUGAACACAGUCUUUGAAAGUAUUUUUAUUAUUUAAAAAAACUUAGAAAUAUACUUGAUUUAAAUGAUUUAGUAAAGAAAACAUAAAUAUAGGGGUUGAAAUUAACAAUGAUAUAUAUAGAGGUCAUUUUAGAAUGUGGGCCUUAGUCACUUACAAGUUCCACUGAAUAUAGACCUCUCUCUUUUGUUUAAUUUUCCCUAGUUGGGACUCCUUACAAGUAAUUAAUUAAAAUCUCCACACAAUUAUAUAUAUAUAUUUGAUAUAUUAAUGAUUCAAAGAAUGUUAGGCCUCUUCUUCUCUUUAUAUUUUAUUAUUUCAACAUUUGAAUGUUGAAUACAUUUUGAAUAUUGACUUAUGCUUAGAUAUGUGUGUGUGUGUAAUGUAUAUGUAUAUCUAUAUUACUAAUUAACAAUGCUAAUUAUUUAUUACAUCCUUGUAUAAGUUCUCCUUUUGUUGUUGGGUGUAAAUACAAUUGUGUGCUUCUCUAUUAUUCUAUUUUAACAAAAGAGGGUUUGGAUUUCUUUUGGUAAUUCAACUAUUUGGUUUUAGUUAUAUAAUCCUUUGGAAAUCAAUAUAUAAAUGAAAUUAAUGUGGAUGAUUCUAAUUCCUAUUUGGACUUUUAAAAUUGAUUAAGUUUAUAAAUACUACAACCUUUAAUCAAAGAUUUUAUUUGUUUUGUUGUUAUCUAUAUUUGUUUUAGGGGUGUUAAAGAAUUAAGCUAAGUUAUUAAAAAACUGUUUCUUAUUUUAGAAUUCAGCUUAGAGCAGUAGAAAAACAAACAUAGUUUUUGAUAAUUUUAAAAUUGAAACUCAAGAGAUUGAAAAACACACUUUUGAAAGUUUUAUCCAAAAAGAAAAAUGUUCAUGAAAGCUACUCAUUUAAAUUUUUGAAUGCAGCUGAGAUUUCUUACUAUUUUUGGAUACAUACAAUUAAGUAAACUUUAAAAAUCACCAUCACAAGAAAAAGAAAAAAAAAACAUUAUUCAAACACAAAUAAACUUAAUUAAGUUAAAGAUUCGAUAAUCUACCUCUAUAAUUUUUGAACAACAACAAAUACAAAGUUAAGACGAGAGGCAAAGGAAAAUGAAGAUGAGGAAAUUUCCUUCAAAUAUUAUACCAUGAAGAUCGCCCCCAUUUGGUGCGGUGAUUAAUAAAAAAGAAAAGAAGAAAAAAGAAAAAAUGGAAAUGAUGAACUAUAUCACUUUGAAUGAGUUGUCACUUUCACUUUCUUUUUCCCCAAAAUUGUGUUUCAUAAUGCAAUUUUGAAAGUUUUGUGUUUCUUUUUUCCAAAUAAUUUUUUUAAAAAAAUAUUUAUGGAGGUCUUCACCAUUAAAAAAAAAAAAAAAAAACUUUUUGUCAUAUUUCAUAUAUGAUUCUCAAAUCACAUCUAUCUUUAAUAGAUGAACCAUCAACUCAAACAAGAGACCUUCAGAUCAUCUAAAUUCAAGAAUAAUAAGACAAAAGUAAUUUUCAUAAUUCUAAAAUCGAUUUUUGUUUCAAGAAUAUGUUUAGGGCUUUUACUAAGAUAUAUGAGGAGUUGUAUUUACUUUUAAUUUGCAUAAGAUAUUCUAAUAUUUUUGUAAGGAUAGCUGUAAGGCUCAUAGAAGGUAAUAGAAAUAUAUUAAAGUGUUGAGAGUUUGAAGAUUAAGACAGCUUUUCAAAUAAGCUAAGUUUACAACAAAUAAACGCAACUUUGGGCGGUUGAGCUAAAAGAUUUGGUUCUUAAAUCCUUUGAUUAUUAGGAUCUCUUCUCUCUUUGUCUUCAACUUUUCAAAUCAACGUGGCCAUUCUUUAAUACAUUUGCACAUCACUUUACCUACUAGAUAUGCUCUUUCUUUAUCUAAAUAGAUAGAUGUUGUUGUAUAUGCUCAACAUCAGUUUUAGCUAACUCAACAAUAAUAUAUAAAGAUCCAAAUUUAUAGUGAGAAUUUGAUUUUUAACGUGAAUUUAGAAAAUAAUACGAUGGGGUUAGGAGCGCACUCGAACACUCGAACAUCUUGAUUUAUUUUCAAUGUUAAUAAAGUCUUUUUUGUAAUCAUGCUAGCUAGUUGUAAAUUUGGUUUCAAAUUUUAUGAUUGAAAUCGACCAUUUUUUUUUGGAGGGUAUGUAGGUUUUUUAGGUUAUAUGAAAUAUACCAUUUUAAUUCAUGUAUGUAUCAUACAAUUGUUUUAACUCUAGCUCAUACUUUCAAUAAUCUUAAAUUUAAUCCCUUUGUGGGUUUAUUGUUGUUUGUUAUCUAUAGUGGAUGUAUCGGAAUAUCAAUAUAUACGGAGACUUUUAAUUAACAUAUGUUGUAAUUGUUGUCUAAGUCCUCCAAAAACUCAAUUAAAGGAUAAGGAGUAUGUGUCUCUAGUUCGUUAUUCAUUUUUCGUUUUUAUAUUUUUACAAAUAAAAUAUAUAAAAGAACAGUUAAAACAUAUUUAGUAUACUUUUGAAAUAGCCAAAUUUUAAAAAUCAAUAAAUUCUCGUUUUCUUUGUUUUUAAAUUUUAUUUUAAAAAUUUAGGAACAAACAAAUACUAUUAGAUUUUCAAAAUUCAAAACCAAACACAAAUUUUAAAUUUUGAAAUCAAAUAUGUUUUAAAAUACAAUAAAAAAAGAAUUUGUCUUCUUUUUCCUAAUAAAUUCUUUUCUUUUGUUUUUAAAACAAAUUUUGAAUUAUAUGAUCUAUGUUUUAUAAAGAUUGUUUCCUCGUAGUAUUUGAACUCCAUAAUGAGAUCUAACAAGUUCGAAAUUAAAAGGUUUGACAUUCUAAAAUCUACGUUGAUGCCAAUAUGAAUGCUUAGAAGAACUGACUUUUGUAUGUUUUUUAGAACAAGUCCCGGAUUCAAAUGCUUCCACUCCUAAGUUAUACUUAAAAACACUUAAAAAAAAAACAAAGGAGAGAUAGACACACCUAAACAUUUUGACGCUCUCAUCUAUAUUCCAAACGAAAGGAUUCAUAAACGAAGAUACAACACACGUAAGUCAAAGUUUGAUACUAAUGGGAGAAGAGGCUAAAGGAAAGCCUUAAUCAAAAGAGCAAUACAAGAUAUACAAAAUUAUUAAUUGGGUAAUAUUUUUCUUCUAUGACAUAAUUUUGAGUUAUAACAAACAAUAUGGAAUUUAGUAAUUACACUUUUAAUCCUUCUCACCUCAAACCAAGAAUAUCUAGAUUAUUCCCAUUUAGGUCAAAGGUUCUCUUUUCAUAUAUAUUUUUCUAAAUGGAGUUAAGUAUCCACCUAAUUGAGCUUAACUAUUAUUUUUUUUUUCUCUUUGACCACAUAUUAUAUAAGAAUCACAUUUUAAAAAAUAACAAAUAUAUAAACACAAUUAUUAUAUAUCAAAUUGUGUAUUUUCAUGAACCCUCUUUAACAUGGCCAAGAAUAAAAGGGUAACUUUCAAAUAUAUAUAUAUAUAUAAAGACAAUGAUUCUUUACAACUCUAACCCUAAUUACAUACAACCCUAGUUUAAAAACAGUCCAAGUUAAAAACCAACCUUAUCUAUAUAUCAUUAUUAACAAAUGUGAUAAAGAUUUGAAACAUAGCUAAUAGCUACUACUACUAGCUAGAGAGAUAAUACAUCAAUAUCCAAUUUACUUCUCAACUUUGCUAACUUAAAAAAGAAUCUAUAAAAGCUAGUCUAGUUUCUUAUAUAUAUAUCUAUAUACACACUAAUAUAUACUACAUCAAAUUAAACCUAACCCUAGGUCUAGCUAGGGUUCUACUAUAUAUAAUAGGCUUUUUUCGUUGUGUUAAUAAUUAUUAUAACCUAAAGAAUUAAGGCUGCUGAUUAAACGAAUCAAAAGACAAAUUUAAAAAGUUGAAAAGUUCAACUUAUAAGUCCCAUCAAAUAAUACUUGACAAAGUAAGAAGAAAUUGAGAGGAGAGGCUUUUGAGUUGGCAUUACCUCCGGAUGCCAUGGACCUUCCACAGCACAAACCACCAAUGUCUACACAAGUAGUGUGUAGAGAUAUUGACAAUGAUAGUUCUAAUUAUCUUCUAUCAACUCAAGAUUUUAAAUCAAUAUUUGUCACACUCUUCCAAGUUUAAUGCACAUCUCUAUACUUUGGAUGCAUUAUUAACUCUUUUAGAUUUUGGAAAUACAAAAAUAUAAUAAAAUCUACCAAUAUUCCAAGAGAAGGUUACGGCUUAUAAUAUUAAUGGAUGGUCUUAUAUGAUCAUGAUCAUUGUGCGCAAGAGAGAAAUUAAAAAAAUAUGGUUAUAUAUUAAAACGUGAAUAAUUUUUUCUAAAAGUGUUUAGUUUGUUGGUUAAAAAUGAGAGAGAUUUGAGAUAUAUAUAUUAAUUAGUUGAGACAAUAUUGAUGGUGAUAUAUAAUAAACUAAGAAAAUAUUUAUACAUUGGUAAAGAUAUGGAGCUUGAAAAUAAAAUAAUUAACUCAACCAACAUUUAAAUGUAUAUCUAUUAACUUCAAAAUUAUUUGAAGUUGAAUUUUUCACUACAUAUAUAUUAAAAGAUAUGGAUGAAUGUCGAUACAUGGACGUGAAAUAUAGUCAAGGUAGAUUUUAAAAAGUAACUUUUUUCUUUUUUGUCUAUUACUUUGAAUAGUGGAAUCUAGGUGGAAAAAGAAAGAAUUAAAAAGCUUUGUAUUCAAAGAUAUGAUCAUGCACUCAAUUGGCAUAUCAUCUCCAAUCAAUUUUAUCAUUUUUAAUUACAAUUAAGAUGACUCUAGAUUGGACCAAUCUAAACUCAAUGAAUUAAUCCCUAUUAUGUAAAUGCAAGAAUACUAAUAUCUAUAUGUCUAAAACAAACAACUUAAUUGAUUAUUAAUUUUAAAAAUUAUCUUUUAAUAAUAUUUUGACCAUAUUUAUUGAUAUUGAUAUUAUAUAAUAACUCGAAUAUUGAUAUAUUAACGUGAACAUUCAUAUUUUAAUCUUUCAUCUUAAUUUAUUACAUGGGCGAUAGUUUUAUAUUCUGAUCUAAACUCAACAAAAUUAUAUAUAUAUAUAUAUAUAUAUAUAUAUAUAUAUAUAUAUAUAUAUAAUGCAACUUGUAAAAUUUAAGGAACGUUUGAAUCAAAUUUAAUUGUUACAAUUUACUUCAUGAUCAAUUAUAAUAGUCGAUUUUUUAUAUAUUAUUACAAAAACUAUUAUAAUAUACUAUAGUAUUACCAUUUCAAAUCCUUAUUUAUUACCGUGAUUUCUAAAUUCUACCUAUCAUCUCUUUUUUUUUAUUAUUAUAUGUCUACUAUUUUUCACUCAAAUUAAAAUAAAUUAGUUUGAUUAUAUUUACCAACCUAACGUUCUAAACUUCUAAACACCUCUUAGAAACUUUCAUUCCAACUUUCUAAGAACAUAAUUACAUGUAAACGCUAAAGUCAAUAAUUUAUCUUAAUUGGUUCCUCCAAAAAGUAUCCCCAAUAUCUAAAUUAAAUUAACACGUCCUUACAAGUCUGAUCGUGGAUGACAUUCAUAUUGAUAUACAUGAUGGAAUCGAAUCAUAUUCUUAUAGGCAAGAUACAUUUGGUGCUAUAUAUACAAAUUAAAAUACUAAAAGUAAUUAUGUCGUUGAUAUGGCUUAAGUUGCACUGCUUAGUCAAAACACUUAUUAGAAAUUCUUUUUACUUAAAAACAUAUAUCUCUCCUUUUGUUAUUCUAAUCGUUUGAUAGGUUUUGUUAACUCAAAAACUAGAGUCAAGAAGGGAACACAUGCAUCCUCAUCGAUAACAUUCUUAUAGAUUGAUUUGGUCAAUUUUUUUCUAAAUAAAAUUAUCAACCUUCAAGUCAAAUGCAAUUUUUUUUAUCCUACAACCCACAUAUGAUCAAUAAGAGAGAAACAAUAUCUUAAUUAAUUUCAAAGUGUAUAUGUACAAAGUAUAUUAUUUAUUAUCUUGGGUUGAUUUGGAUAUGUUCUAUAGAUUGUACAACAACUAGUUUAGUACUCAUGAUGAAAUGAUAAUAUAUUAAUUAGAACAUAAUGUAUUGAAAACAAAAUGUUUUGCAAUAGUAAAAAUGGAACUCUAAUUUUUGGCUGUUUCUUUCGAUUUUUUUUUUACUAAUUUAUGGAAUUAGAUUACCAAUCCACCAACUUGAGUGAUGCUUGGUAAAAUUCGUUCUAAUUAAGUCCCUUGACAUUCCAAGAUGUUUAUACAAUUUUUUAUUUAAUGGUACGGAAUCUUACAACAGAACUACUUUUAAAUUUUAAUUUAUGGGAAAAGUAAGAAAAUUAAUAGAUGAAAAAGAAUUGGAUGCAACUCGAAUAUGAUCUUAAUAAUUAAUUAGGUUGACAAAUUAAUAACGUUCAUAUCCUAUCUAUUUUGUAACUAAAACCAAUAUUUAUGCUUAAAUAUAAUUUUUAAGAUCGUACGUUUAAAUUCUUGUCACGUUUGAAUAUAAAGGAUGACUUUCAUAUUAUUUUUUUGUUUCUUUUAGGUUUUACUUAUGUUCUAAAAAGAAUUGAAAAUAUAAACCUACAAUUGACUAUUCUUUUUCUUGUUUCAAUUUCUUUUAAACAUUUAUAAAAUGUGGAAAAACGAAGCGGUGUACUUCUAACUUCUAACUUCUAAUACAUAGGAGGAAAGAUUGAACCUAAAACCUCAAAAUUGAUCCUAUAGAUCUAAGAAUGUUGAGCAGCUCGUGUUUGGAAAACUAAAUCUUUUAGUGGUUGACUUUGACACAUCAACUUUGGUGUUAUAGAAAAUUAUUGAUAGAAACUAGGUGAUGUGUUUUGGUUUAAUUUUUUCCAUGUGUUUAAUUUUGAAAAUAAGUCAUUCAAAAAAAUUAAAAUAUGUGUGCAACUAUAAAAAUAACUUUUGAUAUAUUUUAGAGUAUAUUUAAAACAUUUUUUUUAAUAAAAGAUAGAAUAAAGAUGAUUUUUGAAAAAUAUAUUAUUUUCUUUAGUCAACUAAACAUAUUCUAAAAUAAUAUUUUUUUUAUAAUCUAAAUUUUAUAGAGUAAAACUAUUUGUUUUUAAAAAAAAGAAAAAACUAGUGUAAAAGAUAACUCCAUUAAGGUCAAUAAAUUAGAGACCAACGUAGGUCUUAAACCAAAGUUCAAUAUUAAAUUAAAGUGAUCACUAGCUAAGUACGUAUUAUAAAGAUGGUUAUGUUUUAAAUAAAAAAAAUAUUCAUAUACACAGAUUUAAAGUUUUAAACAUAACCAGCAAAAGUAUUAUUUACUUAGAUUAGACAAAGUAUAAUAGUAACUUUUAUCAAUAGUAUUAUUUAAAACAUUGACCAAUUAAGGCAUUAAGCAAUGUUAUAAGUUCCGUACAAUAUGUGAAAUGGUGUUGUCAUAUUGAAUCUUAUACUUUUCUUAUAACAUAUUAAUUUAUUAUUGGUCCAUGGUUUCCACAUCUCUAUUAAAUUAAACUAAUAUAUAUAUAUAUAUAUAUAUAUAUAUAUAUAUAUAGGGGAAUUUAUUCAUAAUUUUCUUGUUUAAAUUAAGAUAGUGUUUGGAAGCCAAGAAAGUGAGAGGAAUACAUGUGUCAAAUGGGAUUCUUUUUUCUACCCACCAAUUUUGGCAUCUUUUUCUUUUAGUUUCUCUUUAGGGUGCAAAAACGUGAAAUUAAAUUAAAUGGUCACUAUACAUUUAUUUUUCUCAAGUCUCUUCUAUAUAUAUAUAUAUAUAAACCUAAAGGUUUAGAUCUUUACUUUGCCACACCCUAUAUGUUCUUUGGAGUGAGUGAGUGGAAUUUGGAUGUUCUUUAUUAGAAAAUUUGAGAAAAGAAAGAAAAAAGAUUUUUAAAUGAGAAAAAUAUCAAACUAUUCUUAUAAUAUCAAUUUUUAUCAAUAAUAAAUCCUUAUUAGUUUCUAUUGUAAACUCUAUAUGAAUUAUUAUAAAGAAAGUAGAAAAUCUUGUUAUAACUUGUAAGUAGUUUAACCUAUAUUUUUUAUAUUAUUAAAAAGCUUUCUUCUUCUUAUUAUUAAAAAUUAUAGUUAAAUAAUUUUGUACUAACUUGAAGCAUAUGAAGUUUCUAAUGGUGUUAGCCAUAUUUUGUCAAUGAAAGGCAUGAGAAAAAUUGGCCCUAAUAUAGUCAAAGUUGCAACAGUCAGUUCUUGACUUGUUUAUUUAUUUAUUUAUUCCUUCCUCUCUUCAAUUGUACACAAUUUCUUGCAAUUUUUUCUAGUCCACCUAACACCAAUUUUGAAUAUUUUUCCAAUUUUUUUUUAUUAUUUAUCAAAGGUUAAUUAAUUUGAACCUUUCAUCCAUGUAGCAGAAAAUUAAAUUAAAUCAAUGCCCCAUUUUACUUUAUUUUCCUUUUUAUUUAUUUAAUUUGGUUAUUAACUUGACUAAGUCAAGCACUUAGAAGUGAGACACAUAUAAAUUUAAUUUAUACCAAACAAGAGAGGGAGAGACCAAAUCAUGUGGAAAAUUAUGGUUGAAAAUAGAAUUGAAAAUUAGAAAAAAAAAAACCCAUAAAUUGUAAUUAUGAAAUCAGCAUGAGAUGAGAUAGACAUAUAUUAUUAUAUCAUUUGAAAAUAUAUAUAUAUAAAAAAAAAUCCCAAAGAGCAUUCUUGGUUUUAUUCAAGAAUUUUUUUCCAUGCCCUACUUUGUUGAGACAUGUAGACUUCCUUCUGUGUUAGAAUUUUCUCUCUAAUUAAUCUUUUUUCCUUUUUAAUUUUCUAGAAGAAGCAUCUUCUGCUAUAGUAUGAUUUCCAUUAGUCAUGGAACAAAUUUAAUUGGAAAGGAUUGAAUAGAAUCUCUUAAACAAAACAAAGCUGAUUUAUAUAAAAUGUAUCUCCAUUUUUUUAGGGUUACGAAUCACUUUUAGUAGCCAUAACAAUCAACUAAAUUAUGAACUAUUUAGUUCAUGUAUAACUUUAGUUUGUAGUAAUUUAUUACAUAAAAUUUUCAUUUUGUAACUAUUUAAUCAUGAAUUUAAUUUCCAUACUAUGAAAUUAAAUGAGAAAAAGUUUAAUGAGGUUUUGUUUUUGCAAUAAAUAAAUUAAUAUACUUCUUAGAGCCUCAACAAAUUUACAAAGAAUACAUUAUAAAAUACUAAAAAUUGACAUAAAUUUUUAUAAAUUUCUUUAUUGACAUAAUUUUUUAUAAAUUUUGUUUAUGUUGGGGCUAAAUUGUUACAAAUUUGAAAGUAAAAGAGAAUAAAUGGUUACGUAUGGAAAUUUAGAGACUGAAUUGAUACAAAAUUGAAAGUAUAUUGGAUAGACUAAUUCAUUACAAACAUUUGGAUGAGUUAAAUUGUUAGUUUUGUAAAAGUUUAGAACUAAACCUAUUUUUUUAAUUAAAAUUUUUAAUUAUUUAUAAGAAAACUUCUAUAUAUUAUCUAUGGGUUGGUCUAGCAACUUUCUUAUAAUGGAAUGUUUCUUUUAACUCAACAGAUAACAUAUUCACCAAAAACCAACCGUUUCCAUGUUCAAAUCUCUCCUUCCAAUUUGUAUUCAAAACUUUUAAUAUAUAAUUAACUUUCCUUAAUAUUUGUUUCUGUGAAGAGAUCACUCCUUUGUAUUUGUUAUAUAUAUAAGUGUGUUAGAAAAGUUUUUGUUUUUGUUUUAUUCUUUUGCAUCUCUGAAUUUUCUUUUAUUUUGUUUUUCUAAUUAACCUCUGUUCUUUUAAAAGUUCUUCUUUAUGGCAAGUUUUUUCAAUCAAAAUCCUUAAAGAAUAAUAUGAAUAAAAUACUUGAGGAUGGUAAUCCUAAAAAAUCGAAACAUUUUUUGAUUCCUAAUUAAUCAAUGAAAUGUGUUGUAUGUGAUAAAGUAUACCACAUCACUUUAGCAUAUAUAUUAUUUUAAUAAACUCAAGAAAAAUUUGAAUUGAAAAAAAAGACCCAACACAAAGAACAAAACUCUUAAAGCAACAUAAUUAUCAAAGAGAAAAUAUCCAACAUAAAUAUAAGUUUAAUUAUAUAAAAAAAUAUAUGUUCAACCAUGCAUUUCGGGUAAAAAAUACUCAAUACUCCUAAAUUUUCAAAGAGUUUCGAAAAUAUAUUGAUCAUAUUAAUUUUGAAUGAAAAUUGCAAAAAUACUCUUUAAAACUUAAUAAUAGUUUAACAAAGAGAAAACACAUACCAUUACUAUCAUUACUAGAUGAACGUAAACCAUAAAUAUAAAAUUUAAUCUAGAGAUCUUCUUGAUACGAAGUAAAAAGUGUGAUGAUAUUCCACCAUAUAGUUUAGUGUAAAUAUAAUAUUGGAAUUGGGUUGUGAAAACCUUAGACUAUACUGCCAUCAUUAUUUGACACAUACACACACUCACAUAGUCUAAAACAUAUAGCAAACCUGACUUCCAAACAAACCACCAAAUCAAAAAGAUAUUUUUUAAAAUUGAAAGAAAAUAAAAAGUUGAUAAGUUGAUGAAAUGGAGAAGGAAAGAAGACUUGGACUCACCUUUUUGCCCCUGUAAUUCUUCUAAUUAUUAGUCUCCUACACCAAGUUGCCAAUGUGGUUUGCCAAAUGUUAGAAUUACCAAGUCAAAGGGUCAACUCCAUUAAAACAUGACCCCUUUUUUCCUAAUUAAAUAAACAAAAGAAAAACUCCCCUUUCAUACUCAGAAUAUUAUCACAUUUAAUUAACCACUUAAUUAAAUUAACAUGUUAAUCUAAGUUUGAUUAUUUAAUUUAAUUAAAACCUUUAUUUUACAUCAUCUCUUUUUCUUUAGAUUACCACUUUCAUCUCACACAUAUAUAUAAACAAUACAUAGAUGGAUAUAUCAUCAUAUAGUGAUCUAUCUUCAUAGCCUUUUUCCUUUCUCUCUCUCUCUCUCUCUCUCUUUUCCUUUUCUCCAUCUUAAAAAAAAAAUCCAUUAUCCUUUCAUUCUCUUUUUCUCUGCUCAAUUGGAAUAAAAUAUAAAGGGUUUUUUUUUUAAAAAAAUAUUUCUCUUUUUAAAUUUAUGGAUGUUAAAAUGAGAGGUUUUAGGUGUGGAGAACCUCAGAAGAUAAAAGAGGAGGAGGAGGAGAUGGACGUCCGGAAAGGGCCGUGGACGGCGGAGGAGGAUUCUGUUCUGUUUAAUUAUGUUAACUGCCACGGCGAAGGUCGUUGGAACGCAGUCGCUCGUUGCACCGGUUAGUAUUUCUAAUCUCCAUUUUUUGUUGGAGGAAAAGUUUUAUUGGAUAUUUUGAAGGGAAAUUGAUGAGAAAUAAUUUGUGUUGUAGGUUUGAAGAGAACUGGGAAGAGUUGUAGAUUGAGAUGGUUAAAUUACUUGAGGCCGAGUGUUAGGCGUGGGAAUAUCACUCUCCAAGAACAGCUCUUGAUUCUUGAACUCCAUUUUCGCUGGGGCAACAGGUAACUGAUCCAAGUUUUGGUUCUUUUUUUUUUUUCCUCAAUAAUUUGGUUGAAAAUGGAAUCUUUUGAUAACCCAACUGAAAAAAUGGAGUCCUUUUUAAUCUUAAUGACCUAAGAUAUUAAAAAAAAAAAGAGGGAUUUUUGUAAUAGGUCAGGUAGAGAUUGAUUGCUUUUUCUUUUUUUACUUGUAAUUUUCAUAUGGGUAUUGGUUGAAUGGAGUCUUUUGAUAUGGCCCCACAUACAAGAUCAGUUCUUUUUAAUGCCAAGGUAAAAAAAAAGGGGGGGUCAAUAUGGGAACUUUAAUUUAUUUUUUUUCAAUAACAAAAGUGAAGAGGAGAAAUGAUGGAAGAAUUGUGAUUGGAACAGGUGGUCUAAAAUAGCGCAGUAUUUACCGGGAAGAACAGACAAUGAAAUAAAAAACUAUUGGAGAACAAGGGUUCAAAAGCAAGCCAAACAACUCAAUUGUGACGUGAAUAGCAAGCAAUUCCGUGACGCCAUGCGAUACGUGUGGAUGCCUCGUUUGCUGGAACGUAUCCAAGCCUCAACUGAUUCGACUACCACCAUUGUUGAUGUUAUCCAACCACCACACCCACCUCUCGAGUUGACUCAAUCGUCACCAUCCGGAUCUAGUUGGGUCAACCCUCAUGUGGCUCCCACAACUUCGUCAUCAGACUCUAUAUCUGAUCAGGUUUAAAGUUAUUACUUAAUCUUCAAAACAACGUAAUAACCUUUUAUUUGAUAGGUUAUGAUUUGCUUUAAUCAUUCAUAUUCACAUUCUUUGUUAUAGGUCCAACUUCAAGUUUCACCUGUUUCAGACAUGACAGAGAACUUUAACAUGGUAGAUAAAAGUGAAGAAGAUGGGAUGAUGAUGCUAAUGGAACACGGGUGUGACGGAGAGGCGAUGAUCAACGAGUGGAUAGGUGGUGGGGAGGUAUUGGAGAAUGGGUUAUGGAAUGAAGAAGAUAUGUGGACAUUGUUGCAACAACAAUUUGGUGAUGAUGUUUAAAAGGGAAAAUAAUUAAUUAGAUAUAUAUUGAUUAAUUAGAAAAGCCCUCAAAUUUGAAUUUACUUACGUGACGGCAAAUAUUAUAAAUAGGGGAAUGAAUGACUUGACAAAUUAGAAGUGUAGGCUAAAAAAAUACAUGAUGACAAAAUACACAAAGCUCAAACAUUGACAGCUUAUGAUGUCCACUAGCUUUGGUGUGACACAUUUAGGUUUUUGUAAGUUUAUACCAUUUAAGUUUUAUGUUAGAUUUACACACUUUGCUCCCUCCUUCUAAUAUUAUGUUUAUAAUUAAUAUCAUAUAUUAAUUUUUAUAUCUAUACUUUUCAAAAAAUUUAAUUUACAUAUGUCCAUACAACUUUACUUUUCAAAUGGUCUCAUAUCAUUAAUUAAUUAAAAUUUAUAAUCUCGAAUCAAUAGUGAUCCAUUGUACUAAUCUAACGAGAGGAAUAUUAGAAAGAGAGUCAAAAGGAUGAAAAAUAUAGAGUAAAAAAUAAGAAGAAUACAUGAAUUAGAAGAGAACAUCAUUUGUUAUAAAAGUUUGUCACGUAAGCGUGAAUAAAUAAAUAACAUAUAUUAAAAGGGUUGUGAAUCCUAACUCUAUGAUAGUAAUAAGCUUAGUUAUAUUUUCAGAUGUAAUAAAUAAAAAGUUUUAUAUGGUUGAUAUUUAAGAAAAACGGUAGUUCUUAAUUUUAGAUUUUACGGUUUGAUAAAGUUUAAUAAUAGUCUUUUUGAUUUUAUAAGAUAUUCAUAAAUAGUCUCAAUCAGUAGUACUAUAUCAAACUUAUAUAAAUUAAAUUCUAAUUAAAAGUUAUAAAAACUAAAUUCUACUUUUUUUUAAAGUUGUUUUUGAAAAAAAUCUUUAAUCAAUAAAGAUUAUAUUUGUAAUCCAUUAUUAUAUCAUUCUCACGCUUUUUUCUAUAUAUAUAAUGCAAUAUUUAACCUGCCUUUAUAAUUUUGAUUUUAUGUGAAUCCCUCCAAAAAAAAAAUUUUACAUGAGAAUUUAAUUUUUUAAUUUUAUGUUUUUAUGGCAUUAGAUUAAACUUUAAACUUUAUAGAUUUAUUGGACAAAUUUAACCUAAACAAAUCAUUUUUUAUUUAAAUUUCAAAUACGGAAGAAACUUACAAUUACACACAUAGUUAACCUAUUAUACGAUUUUUUAUUCUAUAUUGAAUGCAAAAUUAUGAUGAAAAGUUCAAUACUAAAGUGAAAAAAACUCCGAAUUAGACUAAAUUUAUGAUUUAACAAAAUUUUCAAAUAAAAAAAUUUGCUUAUAGUAAAAGGGUUUCAUUGCUACACAUAAUGCAUGUGAUGUACAUAUACUUCUUAAUAGACCAUUUUAGUAUUAUAAUCUAAAAAAAUUAUUUUAAAUGAUAAAACUAAUUUAUAAGUAAUAAGUUGUGAUAAAUUACCAUCUAUAUCUUUAGGUGUAUAGUAAUAGUCUAUAAUUAAUAGAAAACAAAAUAUUACUAUAUUUAUAAAUAUUUUAAUUUAUUUUGCUAUAUGUAAAAUUAGUCUAUUAUUAUUAUAUAUAAAAUUGUUAAAAAUCAAUACCAAAAUAAUUUUUGAAAUAAAAUGUUAGUUUGCUAUAUCACUAUUUCUAAUAAACAAUGAAAAUGAUAUGGCUUCCAAUUUUAUUAAUUAAAAACGUGACCUCUUUCCUCAUGAGGUGUAGGGUGCUAUCCAUUUUCUACUAAAUGAACACAAAGUAAGAUUGUAUUAUAUUAUAUAUAUAUAUAUUAUAAUAUAUAUAUAUAUAUAUAUAUUUUGUUAUAGCUCAUAUACAUCCUAUAAAUGUGUAAUAUAUAGUUUGGAGUCCAACUGUAAAAUAUAUAUAUACUCGUGUGUAGUGUACGUUGAAUGGAUUUAAAGAAGCACAAAAGAUCCAGCAAGGCCACAAUCUAUUAGCAUUGCAUGUAUAAAAUCUUUGAAAUAAAGAUAUUUGGUAUUUCAUUAUUUAUCUCUCUAAAAUUAUAUUUUAUUUUUUCAAUUAUUCUUUCUAAAACUUACUAUUUAUUUUUUUUCUACUUAGUUUGGGUUAAUUCCAGAAAUAAAAUUGUAUUUUUAAAAUGACAAAAAAUGGGUUGUGAGAGGACUUUUUCUAUAAAUAAUAUAGUUAUAAUAACAAAUAUUUGAUUUAGGUAAUAUAAUAAAAUGUAUGGACAAAAAUAGACAAGUAAAUAAUUGAUAGAGGUUCAUGAACUUCUUCACUUCAUUUUUGGUUAAACUCAAACUCAUGUCACCAGCUUCAAUGCAUAACUCAUAGACCAGAACUAGAAAUACAUUAUUGAAAUUCAUAGACUAGUCCACGGCUAGCUAAAGUUUUGUUUUUUUAAAAGAUUCAAACUACAUUUAAACAUUAAAACAACUAAAAAAAUACAUCAUCUAAAAUCAUCAAAACUAUAUCAACUGCAAGACAACAAAAAAUUAUGUGUCACACAAUGGACCUCAAAGUGUUGUUUAUGCAAAUUAUUACCUCAAUAUCUUGUUGAGUGAUAAUAAACGAAAAUUCAUCAUCAUGUGCAUAACACUCAUGUUAAUGACGAUAAUUAAAUAUGGUAAGUAUCCAAACGAAGCUGGAAUCAGAUCAUGAGCUACAUCAUGAGGUUCUAGCUAGGUCAGUGCACGUUGCUCCAAAUGGGUCAUUAUAUAGCUACAUGGGUCAUGGAGGAAGCUUCCUUCUUACACCAACGUGUGCCAACGAAAAAAGACGAAGAAAGAGAGAUUAGAAAGUAGAGAGAUUGUGAAUGAAUGAGUCCAUGCAUGUCUACAAAUUAAAACACUCUAAAAAAAAGAAAUAUAGGAAUAGAUCGAAUCACAUGUCAAAUCAUACGUCACGUACACACCUAAUAUUUUCAUUAAUCAACUAGGGUUUUUAAUCAAGUCAAAGAAUAUUUAGAAUGUUUCUUAAAAUCUCAAAUACUAAGAAGAUCAAAAUAAUUUUUAAAAAAAAGAGUAAAUUAAUUAAAGUAAAAGGAAAAUAGUAAUUAAAUUGCAAAGUUAAAUUGUUGAAAUGAGAGGAAGAGGGUCAACUUUGCUUUGGUUGGCACAAACUGCCGCAAUCCUUGAAACCAAAUUAAAAAGUCUUGUAAUUAACGAAUUAAUUAAUUGAUUUUGGAGAAAGAGAAACAAAAUUAAGUGAUCAUUAGUCUCACCUUUUAGGCUCUUAAUUUAGUCAACUAUCAUUUUAAACCUCAAUAUGUAAUGAUAAUGAUAAUAAUAAUUAACCUAUUGCUAUUCCUAACCCUUUGAAAAUAUUGGCUUCUUUUUUCCCCUAUAAAUUGUCUUAUAUAUUCUAGAUUAUAUAGUGGAAACCAUAAUAAUUAUCAUCGUAGAUUAAUUUGCCCAUUGCACACCUAAACAUACAUUACAAAAACUCCUUUUUCUAAUACAUUUUUCAUGCAAAUCUUAUUUAUAACCACACAAACAUAUAUCCGUAGAAAAAGAAAUUAAGGUAUACUGUAAUAUCUCAACUAAUUAACUUGAUUGACACAUCUUUAGUAGUCUCGUUAUAGUUUCAUACCAAAAGUUAUGCAUAUUCAAAAAGAGAGUAUAGAAAGUAAGAUACACAAAAACAAAAACGAGCUAUAGAGAACAAAAGACAAAAAGAGAUUAGAGGAAAGUUGCAAACGAAAGAUGCAUUAUACAUGGUUGCAAAAUUGAGGAGAUUUCUCACACACCACUAGACCUAAUUGAUUAUAGAAUUAAAGGCUUGGUCCGUAGUUAAAAUAUUCAAUUAAAAAAAAUGUAACGUUUAUGUUAUUUUUUUGUCGAGGAUUUUUUAAUCUUAUAUAAUUUUUAAUUAACAAAGGAUAAAAAAAAAUAAACUAUUUACAUCUCACACAAAAAAUCACUAAAUACAAAGUUUAUUGUACUUGAUUUUAUCAAUUUUUCUAUUUUUGACAACUUUCCUUACAAAAAAUGUAACGAUGAUAUGUUGUUCUUCUAUCUCAAAUUUAUUCGAUCUCGUAUAAUUUUCAAUUAAACCUAAUUAAUUAUAGAAUGAAGGACCAUCCUCAAAAGCAAAUUUUAAUUGUUCAAUACUCCCAAUUAUGAAGCUGGUAUAAAAAAUAAAAGAUCUAUUUUUGUACAAAGAAAGGGGUACAUGUUCUCAUGCUUAGCUCAUCAUGAUCACCAUUUCCACUCAACGUAACUACAAAUAAAUAAAAGUAAAACUUUUAUAUUAUUCUCAUUAUAUUAUUAUUUCUUUCUCUAUAUUAAUGGAUUUUUACGUCACACACACAUCAAAAUACAAGUAUAUUUUUUUCUUUUUUGAGGAAAAAUGUCAAUAGUUUUUGCCACAUAUUUCCAUGUUGUCAUUAAAUCUUUUGAAAUUCUUAAUUUAAGUGUGUUAACCAUUCAUUUUCCUUUUAAAAAAAACCCUAAUAGUGUGUUGUCACAUUAAUUAGUGUUUUAUUAAUCACAUUAAUUAUAACGAUGUACAAAAUAACCUUUAUGUUCAUACAUACAUUAAAUUUUAUACGUGGUAUAUAGCAGCUAUGUGAAGUUAUAUCAGGUUAAUUAUUCACACAUGUUAAUAAUUAAUAUAAGCAUCAAUAAUGUAACGACAUUUUUCAAAACCAACUUGAGUUCAUUAUUAAUCUAAUUAUCUUAAUUUUCUAAAACUAAUAGGAGAAACAUAAACCAAAAUAGUUCCUAUAUGACAGGUCACAUGUCUUUUUUGUAGGUCUUUCUUGUCGUUCGCUAGCUUGCAUUUUUCAUUACCUUGGUUUGUAAAGUUAAACAAGGAAAUGGUGAGUAUAUAUAUACAAGAUAUAUAGUAAGUAAUCUUCCCAUUGGGGCCUUUUGAGUGAGUUGUCAAAACUCAUUCCAACAUACGCGUAAUGUACAAAUGAUAACAUUACAUAGGUAAUGCCCCUUGAAGGAUCACAUAUCAUAACAUAGGUAGUGAACCCGAGAGAACACAAAAUAUAGUUUAAGUAGUAAUCUCGAAGGAACACAAUUCAUGGUGUAGAUAGUGAUCCAGAAGGAACACAAAACAUAAGAUGUGCAUAACCUGUCAUGAGAAUUAAACAAUUACCACUAAUCUUAGCAUGCAUUCAUCAAUCAAUAGGCUUUAGCUCAAAUCUAACAAUCAUUAGCAUGUCUUUUCUUUAUCCAUACUCAAAUCCUUAAUCAUUUUAAUUAAUCAAAUCUUCUCUAAUAAAUAAGCUAUUUUAAAUUUUCAUAAAUUUCAAUUUUAGCUCCAAUCCACAAGAUAACAUCUAAAUAAUUUAAGAUAAAUUCUUUUAAAAAAUUUGAGAUGUUACAAAUAAUAUGAAUAUGUUAAACUGACUGAGAUGUUCGAGUUUAGCUUAUGGUACUGUAUGACACAUUUGGGAGAUAGUUGGAAAGAGUGAAAAUAAGACAAACAGUAAUAUUGAAAUGAGCUAUUAUAAUAUUGUGUUACAAUUAUAGGAGGGAGAAAAUGUGAAGCCUAUACCCUACAAUAUUAACAAUAAUAUUAUAGGUAGAGCUUAUAAUGGAUAAUUUUAUACAAUUGUAAAGAUAUGAACUAAUGCACUAUCCUAAUUCUAUAAUGAUAUUAAGAACCAUAUCUCCUCUCUUACUUAGCCAUUUAAAUGAAAUUAGUUUUUCAAUAUUCAACAUAGAUCGAGCUAGUUAAUGAGUCAAUAUUAUCUUUCUGUUGGAUAUGAUAUUUGUUUAAUGGAAGGGCUCAAGUUAAGAUAAAUCUAAUCUUUUAGGUUUUCAAUAUGUAUAUAUGUAAGUAAAAAUAUAUUUAUACCAAUUUAGUACGUAUAAAUACACAAAAAUAUCCCAUUUCUUAUUUGAACUAUAUAAUACAAAAAUAGGUUAAAAAAUACUCAUGGUCUUAAACUUCCAUACAAAAAAAUAACUAACAAUUUAGCUUCUAUAUACUUUCAUAUUCAUAUUCGUAAAAAAUUAGUCUUCUUAUAAAUUUGUAUAUCUAUGAAACAUCCAUUAAAUAAAGUAUCAAACUUUUUUGCAUAAAUUAUUUAGUCCUUAUAGUUUAAAAUAAAUAAUAUAAUUUUGCUCCCCAAUGGGUAAAAAGAUUCACUAGAUUAUGCUAAUAUUUUUUACUAUAAAGACUAAAUUAAUUGUUGUAAAAAUUAUAGAUUUAUUUAUUAAAAUUGACUAAAUAGUUACAAAAUUGAAAACAUAAAAAUUAAACUAUAAUUAUAUGAAAAGGACGAAAAGUGUGUUUAAUCUCAAAAAAAAUAGAAAAGAGUUAAACGAAUUUAACGCGUGAAUAAGCAUUCAAAUAAAGUCAAAUAAUCAAUCCAUCAAAUGACUACUUGAGUUUUGGUGUUGAAAAUAUUCAAAGGCACAUAUAAUAGGUGGUCACGAGAGUAAAGGACCAUGAAAGAAUUCAAUUCCCUAUAGCAUUACCCCCACAAAAUAUGUAGGAAGGGAUGACCUAAAUAUCAUAUCAAUCUUCCACUUUAGGUUUUGAAUAUGGAAUACAGCCAUGCAUUCUCCAUUGUAUACAAAAAUGACAAUUUGUACCCAACACCAACAAAAUAGCCUUUAUCAAAUGGGUCUUGUAAGAAUCCCUAAGUGGAAUAUUAUAUUCUUCAUAAAGCCAUGUGAUUGGUCUCCCAAUUGGGUCCUAAAAAUCAAAGUCUCUAUCUUACACACCACAUAUAUAUUGACAAUUUUUUAGGGUUUUUUUUCAUACAUAGCCAAAACUAGGGGGUAUUGGCUACAAUGAAUGACUUCAAGUUUAUUCUUCUUCUUCUCCUUUUUGUGUGUAAUUUGUUCCUACAAUCUUAUUCAUUGAAUGUUGAGGAGAGAAGGGAGGACUACAAGAACUGGUUGUCAUGGAACCUUCAAAAUUACAAGAAGAAAGCCAGUUUGGUAGACAGGUCGACUGUCAAACUUGGUCGGUCUUAUAAUAGUGGCGGAGUUCUUGACGAUAAAUUGAAGAAGGCCGAGAUGAAUAAAGUGAGAAUAAUUGUUAGCCAAGAUGGAACGGGCGACUUUAGAACGGUUGGAGAAGCUCUUAAUAGCAUUCCCAAACCUAAUAGUAAAAGAGUCAUUUUGGUCAUCAAUCCAGGAGUUUACAGGUAACAUAUUUGCAACUUGUUUAGAGUUAAUCAACAAUAAAAUUCAUAUAUAUUAUUUUUGUUAUAAAAAUGUUGCUAACAAAUUAUGAAAAACACUCAAGUACGUAUAUCCUAGCCCACAAUACGGUCAACAAUUUUUUUAAUUACAUAGUUUGUUAUGGAGCAAAUUUUUCGUACUUCAACUUUAAAAUAUAUAUAUUUGUCUGAGUGACUAGAUCCAGAUAUACAAAAAUGGAUACAUCUUGAACUACACUCAAUAUAAAUAGUUCAAUGGUUUGAAGAAGAUAUAUGUAUGUGAACUAAUUGGUAUACAUGGUGGAAUUUCAGUGAAAAAAUCAUCAUUCCUAAAAGCCUACCAUUCGUGACGUUUCUUGGAAAUGUCAUUGACGACCAACCAACCAUCACGGGAAACGACACGGCAUCGAUGACAGGUGAAGACGGAAAACCAUUGGGGACUUUGAAGAGUGCAACUGUGGCCGUAAAUGCCAAUUAUUUUGUAGCUAUCAAUAUGAAGUUUGAGGUAAAAAGAUUCUUUUUGCCAUAUCAUAAACAUUCUAAAAAAACUCUAAAAUAUACUAAAGUUAAAAGUAAUAAUUAAAAAAAAAAACAACAUAAACAACAAACUCCCACAAUAUUCCAAUCAAAACCUGUAAAAUCCAAAAAAAAAAAGAAAGAAAAAGAGUCUCAUUAGAACACUGAAGCAGAUGAAUAUCAUCUCCAUUGGUAUGAGAUUUUUUGUAUCAUUUUUACAUAAAAAUAUAUAAAACAACUGAUUUGAUGACCGCACUUUUGCAGAAUAGGGCAAUGCACGAGAUCGGAUCGGUUCGAGGACAAGGAGUAGCAUUAAGAAUAUCAGGAACAAAAGCUGCAUUUCACAAUUGCAGCUUCUAUGGAGAUCAAGACACACUAUAUGAUCACAAGGGUCUUCAUUACUUCAACAAUUGCUACAUCCAAGGCUCAGUGGAUUUCAUAUUUGGCUAUGGAAGAUCCUUCUAUGAGGUAGUACAUUAUAAAUUAAUCAAAUUAGCUUUCACCUAAUUUUGCUGUAAACCGUUUGCAGUUACUGUGUUAUAAAUGCUAAUAUAUACGCUAAGUAAUUAUUAUAUUUACAACUGAGCGUGAAAUGCACGUACGGGUUUUUUUUGCAGAAAUGCUAUUUGAAGUCAAUAACAAAGAAAGUGGCAUCUAUGACUGCUCAAAAGGGGUUAAAAGGAUCAAUGGAAAGUGGGUUUUCAUUCAAAGAUAGUGUGGUAACAGGAAGUGGACAAAUUUAUUUGGGAAGAGCAUGGGGAGAUUAUUCAAGAGUUGUUUUCUCAUAUACUUUUAUGGAUAAUAUUGUUCUUCCUCAAGGUUGGAAUGAUUGGGGCUCCCAAAAACGCCAUUUGUAAGAACCCCCACUCUCCUUUUAUUCUUUUCAUAUAUAUAUCGGCCCAUGAUUUGUGAAUAUAUUUACAGAUUGUAUAACACUUUUUUUUUAAAGAAAAUGAUAAAGUAGUAAAUAAUGAAUGUUUGUGUGUAUUAUAUUUAUGUAUGUGUAGGACAGUGUAUUAUGGAGAGUACAAGUGUAGUGGACCAGGUGCAGAUUUAAAAGGAAGAGUUCAGUGGGCUCAUAACUUAACUGAUGAAGAAGCUCAACCUUUCAUUGGGACUCACUAUGUUGAUGCUGAUUCUUGGCUUCUUUCCCCUUAUUCCUCUUAAAACCUCUUCUUUUUCUUUUUCUUUUUCCCCCUCAAAAUUUAUCCAAUUUCCCUUGGAUAUUAAAUAUUUAAAAAAGGAAUGAUUAAUUUCCUCAGUUUAUAAAAUUCUCUUAUGUUUUUCUAUAUCUAUAUAUAUCUUGAUGUAUUUAUAUUCCACUUUAAUGUCGUGGUUGGAAAUUUAAACGAAUGAAGAGAUGAUUUGAGUUGAAAGAAAGUAGGGAAUACAAGAAAAAUUGUUAUUAGAUAUCUCACAUGGAGGAGAUUACUAUGAUAAGGAAAUAACACAAAGGGAAAAAAAGAAACAAUACAGUUUAGUAGAUUUAAUUGUCAAGGCCAAAGACAGUUUUCUCCAAGCAACUUCCAUAUCUUCUUCAACUCCUCUCCAUCCUCAUCUCCACCACCACCCAAACUCAAAAACUCAAACUCAGAUAAUCCAUCAACCUUCCUCUCAAAUUCACCACCAUUCCCUUCAAGAUCUUCAUCAUCUCCAUAGCCUCCCAUUAAAGCCUUCAAUAACAUCAAAAGAGACGACAUUCCCGUUGUGUCAACAAUGACAAACUUGAUCUUUGAUAUUGGAAUAAUUUGAAGGCUUGAAGGAAAGAGAGAUGGAGUUAUUAUGGGAAUAUAAAUAAGCUAAGGUAGUCUUACAUAGUAUAUAGUUUAAAAUUUAAUUUGUAAUGGUAGCUUUUUAUAUCCAAAAACUUUCUUGUCUUACAAACAACAACAAAAGUCGAUUUUAGGAGAGAAUUAAAUGUAAUAAUUGGUUGUUUUUUUGUGCAUUACUUUGUUGUGUUGCUUUUUAAGGUGAGGAGUUGGUCAUCUUCAAGCCAACUUUUCCAAUACGUCAAUGAGCGUUGUACUGUUACUUUAGGGUGAAGUGUUCUUGUUACUUUUCCAACUUUUACCAACAAUUCAAGAAAUAAUUCUAAAUAGAAACUGUGUUUUACUAACAAUUCAAGAAAUAAUUCUAAAUAGAAACUGUGUUUUACUAACAAUUCAAGAAAUAAUUCUAAAUAGAAACCGUGUUUUUGGCAUGAGUGUCUUCAGGUGGAGAUUUCUUUCAAGUUAUCGUGGAUGGUUGUUUGUCACUUGAAAGGAACAUCUUUCUAAUUUAUUCUUCUCUUUUGUUAGUAGUUAUGGUAGCUUAUAACUAGGGAGAAGUCAUUAAAAAUCAGUACUUGUUCAGUGAAGCAUAGACUAAACUUUACAUACUUUUUCAAACUUCAACGAACCUUAAUUAUUAUGAAUACAACUUUCAAACGACUCAAACGUGAACAUUACAUAUGAAAGUACUAUAAAUUCAAUGCAUAAUAAAUACUCCAUCGAGGCCAUCAAAAGUACGUUUAAAUUCAUAAUUAAAAUGACCUCAACAGUGAUUUUCAAGCCCCCAAAAUUGUUUUUUUCUUUAUAAUAAAACCAUUUUGUUUGUUUGUUUUUAUAGACUGCAUUUUUUACAAGUGGAUAAAAUAAAACAUAACAGCAAGAUAAAAACAUGGAAAAAGAGAGCUCUUUAAGCAUAGCAGACGCAGAAGGCCAUGGAGUCUAAUGGGAAGCAAAUGAAGAGAAUAAUACAAUAAAAAGUUCCAAAGUAAUUUCUUUUCAGCAAUCCAUUCCAAAUAACAAACAUGGUUCUCGUACAAAUACACCUAUUUUAAGAACAUCAUUUAAUUCAUUACAUUAAAAUUAAAAAAAGAAAAAAGAAAAGAAAAGAAAAGAAACCAAUGCUAUUGAGUCGAUAACAUGACAAAAUACUUCAAAAUUUCUUUCAUUAUUCAUAGAUCCAACACCAACCUAGGAAUCAUCCAUUAGGAACGUCGUAUAGAUCAGGUAAUCCAACAAAAAUGCCCGUAAACAAGGGAUAAAUCACAUCAAUUUGAUUUUCCAGAAGCAAUCCCAGCUCGAAAGAAAUCCCCAUCUACGCCUGCAAAUCAGGAAAACGGAACAAUCUUAUCAUCAACCAUGCAAAGUCGAACUUCCACCACAAGCUAGUAAACUUUUGUACACUAAUAUCCCAACCAAACUGAUUGAGAAACAAACCAUUUCCUUAUGCCUCUUCUAAUUCUUUUAAAUGAAGUUCCUUUUCAGGCAAUACUGAUAUAUGGUUAUUUCUUAUUCUAUUGUAUACUGCAGAAAAUUUGUUCAUUGAGUUACACAAAGAACAUGGUUAUUUUUUACCUUGUUGGCAAUAUUGUUUGAGAGCCAGUCAAGUCCUUCAUACAGCCCUUCACCGGAUGUGGCACAUGUGCUCUGGAUGUACCUGAAACAGGAUUUCAAGACAUGGUACUAAUUACUACCGAAAAGUUUUAAGCAAUUGCAAGUUUUUUAAGAGUUUAUGGUCGUCAAAUGUACCAGUGACGUUGCCGGAGGGAGUGAAGACCAAGCUUGUCGGUGAUCUCAGCAGCAUUCAUGGCAUUAGGAAGAUCUUGCUUGUUGGCAAAUACCAAAAGCACAGCAUCCCUCAGCUCAUCCUGUAAGUGCAACGCAUGUAUGUUAUCAUCUAGACAACAUAGUAGAAUGAAACAAUUUUUCAUUGUAUCGAAGUCUAAUAAUCAAAUUCCAUUAUGAGUACCUCAUUCAACAUUCUGUGCAGCUCAUCCCUAGCUUCAACAACACGGUCUCUGUCAUUGCUAUCCACCACAAAAAUAAGUCCUUGGGUGUUCUGGAAAUAAUGCCUCCACAAUGGUCGGAUCUUGGAACAAAACAAGCACCAAAUAAGUGGAAAGAACAAUUAAUAUCAUCCAUGUGCUAGAAGAUUGGCUACCAACUAUGAGUCCAUGGAAGCACAAGUGUCGAAUUGUUUAAACAUGUUAAAUAGAAAAUUUUAGUACCAACAUUCCUAAGAAAGUUGAAAAGUUUAAAGGGAUUCAGUAGUAAAAUCUAUACUUAUGACUAAAAAGCUAGGUAUGACAAGAAAAAAAAGAAAAUGAUAAGCCAGAUUUAACAUCAAACAAAUACACAUUGAUUGAUUUAAAACAAUCAUCUACCAAGUUACACAUGUACCAUGCUCAAAAUAAUAGCAACGUCUUCAUUUAUACACACUGUCAGAAAUCUAGCACCUUGAAACGAUCAAAUGUACCUUGUCUUGGCCCCCCACAUCCCAGACGGUGAAGCUGAUGUUCUUGUAUUCCACAGUCUCAACAUUAAAACCUGCAUAGCCAUACGCAAGUGAGUUAUACCUCGGAUCUCACAUUCUCCUUUUUCAGAAACAGUAAUCGCAAACUAAGAUUAUGUAUUCACAAAAGCUUCUUGUACAGAAAUCAAAAUGCCAAUAUGCAGUUAGGUCAAAGUGUUUAGUCUUGAACAUCACAUUGUUUCUAAAUUCUAUCACCCCACUUUUUCAAAGAUAUCAAGUCUGGAAUCCUGCGGUGAAUUAUGACAGAAACUUAUGUUUGCAAGGUUCACUCAAAGGCAUAGGCUUUAAUUAACUGAAAUUCACAAAAGAAAUAUCCCUCCUUCCAUAUUGAUAACAAUUGAAGGCGUACAAAUAAGAAAUGCAAGUGUGAGCCUUUACAGAUCCUAUGUGUUUAAUUAGAUUAAUCAUCCAGUUCUCCUCUAUAAAUUCAUCUCCUUGAAGAUAAAACAACAAUUCAUUAUACUAACUUAAAAAAUUUUGUGAUGAGGACAAUCAUGCAAACAAACAUGAAACUACCAAGUUAAACAAUUAUAUUCAAUGCCUAUGAUCUAGACACAAAUGACUAAUCAUCAAAUUGUUGUAAACAAAACGCAUCAACUGUAACAUUUAUUAAUCCGUGAAAUCAGUAGUUGGAUAUAGAAACAACAACUUACCGAUGGUAGGAAUGGUGGUGACAAUUUCUCCCAGCUUGAGCUUGUAAAGGAUUGUCGUCUUACCAGCUGCGUCAAGACCCACCAUGAGAAUACGCAUCUCCUUCUUGGCAAAGAGCCGGCUGAAAAGCUUGGUAAAAGACAGCCCCAUUUUUCAAGUAAACUGAAUACAAACACAACAAGCCGGCAUCAGUUACCCCUUAAAAUACUACGACAUCAAAUACUUAAAUCAGCCAAAAAUGUAAAGCCAACCCAAAAAAGAAGAGGAUCCGAUCUUUGUAAUUCAAAAAUCAACUAGCCCAGAUUCAAAAUCAAACUCCAAACACAUUACCAUAAUGCCACUUUUACCCACAAUUCAAAUUAAAAACAAGGACCGCUAGAUCCAGCACAAAGAAAACGCAUCCAACCAAUCUGUUAAACACAUGCAUCAAUAAAAAUCCAGGUAUAAACAUAGGAAACGCAAUUCAAAUAAAAAAGGGUGGUCGUCAGAUCAGAUCCAAAUACAAAACAUCAAGGCGAGAAAACAGAAACCCAGAUCAGAAAAUAAAAAACAAUGAAAACCCAGAAAAGAACAAUAAAUACGAAGAUCAAUAAAAGAAAAAACAGGAAAGGAAAAAGGGAAUCACCAGGAGAACAGAUCGAAGCAGGAAGGAUGAAAAUAAAAGAGGGUAGUGAACAGAUCUUAGAGAGAAAUGAGAGAAGAGAUUGAAUGGGAAAAACUUACGGAAUUGAAGAGAGGAGAAUAGAGAGAUCGGCCCCAAAUAAGAAUGAUAGAUCUCUCUCUCUUGAACACAAGGGAGAAGCUGUCCUUCACGAUCAAAUGCGCAUUCGCGAUAUAUGAGGACUCUAUUUUUAUAAACCAAAUUAAUUUCAAUUAUUUAAACAAAAAUCAAUAUUUUCAUUUGACGUGAAGUAACGUUUGACUCUCCCGUUUUUUCUUUUUUCUAAUUUUCUAAUUUUCUAAUUUUCUUCAUAUUUUUUCGUUUAGUUCCGUGACGCCGUUAUAACGUUGCUUAAAUUUUAAGUGCUCUGUUUGGGAAUGGAAAAAAUUCGAAUCUCGGGUCGGUUUCUUUAUCCGGAAUCGGGAUAGUAUCGAUCCACUUCCAAUCCCCAAAAACCAAUCGCCAUUUUGCUAAAAAUGAAUUAUUCCAAAAUUUUCAAUUUUAAUUCUUAUAAUUUAGACUCUAAGCUUUUAAUUUAUUAAUUUUAAAUGUUGCAAUAUAAAUAGCAAAAUAUUAAAAUUAUUUAUCAAGAAAAUUUAAAUAAUUUAUAAAAAAUUUGAUCAAGUAUACUAUUUACAAAAUCUAAUUUGAUCCUAAUUUUGAUAAAAGAGAAAAAGAAAACAAUACAAAUUCUUUUAUAAACUCAAUAAUUUCAAUAAAAUAAAGUUGGCCAGAAUAUAAAAUAACCAAUAUUUAAAGUUCAUAAACUUCCACAAAAGAUUAUACGUUGUUUUUCGUAAAAAGAAGAAAAAGGCAAUUUUUAUAUGCCAUAUAUGUUCUAUAAUUUAUUAAAUGCAUAAGAGAUUUUUUAAACAAUUAUUGGAAUGAGAAUCUAUUAUAUGAUUGAGACGGAGUUUAACCAAAAGUUAAAUUUUGUUGCACUUUUUUAUUUUUUAAGGUUAAAAACUUAAAAGGGAUGAAAUUGGAAGUUUCAAUAUUUUACUAUUUUUAAAUAUACACCAUUAAUAAAAAUAGUACACUAAGAAUUAAAACUUUUGUAAAUUUUCCAAUUUAAAAAUUAUUUCCUUUGUUAAAAACAACCAACCACAUCCAACCAAUCUUUUUUCUUAGGGCUAAAAGUAAUUUUUAGCUCAAAUAAAAUUGCAAUAUGUGUAUUACUAUAGUAUGACUCAAUAUUACAUCCUUUGAAAAAUAAAGAUGUGAACCGGAUCGGAAUGGAGAUGAAGAAUAAUAACUUACGUUAAAUGUUAUAAUAUUAAAUUUGUCUUCAAACUUGAGCUCAAGGUUGACCCAAGAUGGUAUCAUAGAAUACAAAUUAAAUGUUAUAUCAUACAUGUUUCUCUUGUCUCCAUCGAUUCAAUAGAGAGAAAAUUCCCUCUGCUCCCUCAUCAUCCUCCAUGUAAAGAUGCAUCUCUAUGAAGUAAAUGAACAUAGACCCACUACCACAGUUUUGAGUUAUUAUUGAACUCAAAAGAAAACGAAAGUUAGGAUUUUAUAUCAAAUACAACCACAUAUGCAAAACUUUAAACAAAGUCCUAAGUAAAUAUAUUAAAGAACAAGACAACUCCUCUCCUAGGAUUCACCAUCUAAUCAUCAAAAGUACAUUAGAAGAUGGCAUGGUAGCUUAUGCGUUGAUUAUUGCCUAAUGCGGUUCAUUUCUUUAUGACAACAUGAGGAAGUUACAUAUUUACAAGUCUGAUGUUUCCAAGAGAAAUAAACUUAUCUGAAUUACACAACUUAUAACUUACUAUUUCUUUUAUUUUCCUCAUCUCCACAAGGACCAAACUCUGAGGAAGGUAGCCGCCAACACCAUGGAACAAAAGUUACAAACUCACCAACAUUUUCUCUUUCUUACUGUGUUGCUCGAUUGUUGUCAGACAUGUCGGAUCGUCCUCCGGUCAUUCUCUCUGCUCUUUCUCCACGUUCGCCUGUGCAUUACACAACAUGUAAGGCAUGUCAUAUACCAAUGUGAUAAUGAAAUAAUCUUAAUGUUUUUAACUUUCAUUGAGUAAGCUAGUUGAAGUUUUGAUAGUUGCUCAAAAAGGCUAACAAGGUACCUGUACGAAUUCGAAUCACAUCUGAGAUUGGUAUCACUGUGUGAAAGUCAAAAGUGUGUGUUAGAAGUUUACAACAAUUUGAUAAAUUAAAUAAUGAAUUCUAUUGGUCCUUACGCUUUGUAUUAAAAAUUAACUGAUAGUCAGCUAUGUAAGAGUGGAAAUUUAAAACCACCUUUCAGCCAACAAUUUCACAUGAGGUUGAUAGAACUUGAAUAUAUAAAAGAUAAAAGAUAACAGAAAUACAAGAUAAACGAAAAGUUUGAGGUAGUUGAACUCUCCCAAUCUUGAGAUGCUCUCAAGCUCUAAUUUAUUGCCCAAAAUAAUAGUUAUCUUCCCUAUUCUCCUUAUCUAUAAUUAUAACCAAACUCCAUAACCAACUUUCCUAGCUAAUUACUAAUACACCCUUCAUAUCCCUCUAACACCUUAAUAACAUUACCAUCAUUCAUCUGUCCAUUCAAGUAACCAUUUUAGGUUAAGACACCAUUGAAACCUUAAUAUCAUUCCCAUAAAAGUGUUUUGAAGUACAAAAACAAAAACGUGUUUUUUAUGUGCUUUCAGUAUUCGUGAGUGUUCGGAUGGACCGGCUUAUGUGCACCUCGACUAAUCUCAUAGGACAACUCGUCUGACCCUACAACAUUUGGGUGUUAAAGUAGACUCAAAGAAAAUUAAAUCCUAUGUAGGUGGCCACCAUGGAUAACGAAUUCUUAAGUGCUUAAAAAAGUCAUUCCAAAUUGGUAAUGCAGCUUUCCAACUCUUAUAUUGUUAGACUAGAACUAAGAGACUUCAUCACUACAGUUAAGAAACAAUUUAAUUAUCUAACAUUGUAUUACAAAUACUUACAAUUUUCUAUGAAUUUGUUGCUGAUAAUUAUUUACCAUAUAAGGUGCUCAUCCAGUUAACAUAGAGAACUUGUGUUCAUGGUAAUGCAUAAAUGAAAAUCAAACAAAAUGAAAUAAAAAUAUAACAAUAAUAAACAGCAUGACAAGCAGAAAAUUCAGAGAAUAGAAGUUAAGCAAACAAUAACGAUGUAAGCAGAUAAGGAGCUAGGCUAUUAACAAAAAUAAAGUAUGUUUACCAAAAAUUUUGCCGUCACCAAUUUCACCAGUUCUGGCCUCCUCAAUUAUCUUGUCUAUGACAGCUUCAACCUGUUAAAAGGAUACUUAAAUUAAUCAUAAUACCUAUAGAUUCUCUAGUGCAGCAGUUUGCUUAAGAGAUAUAAACAACAAAUUUGAAGAGAUAUAUACAACAAAUUUGAAUUUCUUAUCACAAUAGCAUAACACUAUUUUACCUGGUCUUUAACGACCACAAUUUCCAUCUUAACUUUAGUGACAAAGUUGUCCUCAGAAAAUUCAGAUCCUAUGAACCGUAUAUAAAAGAAAAGAGUAUAAAGUUAAAUGGAAUCAUAAGCAAAUAAACAAACAUCAGUGAUGACAUGGAAAAAGACAUGAGUCUAGAAACAGACUAAAAUGUACAAAUAGAUUUCCCUCACCAAGAAUUAAGACCGAGAAUCAUCAAAGAUAAACUUACCACCAUGUCUCUCUUUAGAGCCACCUUGAGAACCAAAGCCCUUCACAUCGGAUACUGUUACACCUCGAAUACCCAUCUUCAGCAAUGCCUUCAUUGUUUCCCCAAGAAACAAAGAGCAAUUUAAUACAAACACUACUUAAAUUUGGAUAUUAAAACAACAAAAAUCUGCAUAAUCCCCAUUCAUUUGCUACCAUUCAAACGUUUGUCAAGCAUGAUAGUUUAAAUGUUGAAAGCAACCUUUAUUUGAUUCUUUUUGGCUAUGGACGAGCACAUUUGCUAGACUUCAUAAAGUAGUUUAACCUUUUUUAUUCUAUGACAUUGACAAGAUAUCAUGCAACCAAUCUAGAAUGCAAGUGAUCCUAAACUUCAUUUCCUCUGAUACCAAAAAUUCAAAGUUUUCAUAACUCUCUACAAUCAAAAUCUCAAGGUAUCCUAAUUUUACCAUAAUUAAUAAUAAAACCAAACAAGAUCUUACACAUUCCAAAAUGAAAAUUAGGAAUGACCAUAUUCAAGGUUAACUAGGUCUUACCGAAGAAACAUUUUGGAUUCUCCAUGGCCUAUCCCGUCCAAACACACCAACAUAGCACACAGAUAAAUAAGUAUCAGAUGCAACAAACUCAGCAAGGUUACUCAAUACACACUAGAUGAAAAAAAAAAAAAUCAACAGUUAAGAACCCCAAAUGUAGCAGUACAGAACACGAUGAAGUAGGUUUGGUACCUAAGGAUGGCCUCCACUUUGUAGAAUUUGGAAUCAGGCACAUAAUCUACAAAGAAAAAAAAAACAGCAGCAUAUUAGAAAUUGGGAAGCUGAAGAGUGAUAGAAUGUGUGGCGAGCGAAACAUACCGAGAGAGCCUUGGGUGGCUUUGACGAGAGGGAGAAUUUGGCGAUUGGAAGGGUGGUUGUUGGCGAGGUUGAAGUGAGAAAGUCCGACGGUGGUGAAGUAAGGAGUGAUGAAAGAGAAAGAAGUGAAGUGAUGAAACUGUGGACGAGGAAGAAGAAGAGCAGUGAGGUUCGUUGUAGUUGCCGCCACCGCCAUGAGAGUUGAGAUUCGAGAAGCAGAGUGAUGACGACGAACUGAUCGGAGGUUUCAGAGUUCACGUUGGAAUUUCCGCUUCAAAAAAAUUAAUAAAUUAUGAUUGGAAGAAGUUUUGUUUGUUUUGCAUUUUUUUGGGUCUAAUUUUCUAAAGAAAGCAAAAGCCCAUUCCCCUUUGAACUCUUCAUGGUCACCAAAGGCCCAUAGGGAAAGGUUGAAAGUUAUGGAAAAUAAUUGUGACUUCCAAACAAACCAAAAAAAACUCCAAAGUUUUAUAAAAAAUAAAAAAUUAUGAACAUGAGUUUUUGUUUUUCUUUUCAACAUUUCAAUUUGACAUCAAAUGUGAAAAGUUGGUUGAUAUAUUACAUUUUGAAACUAUACGACUAAAAACAAAUUAUUAAUCUUCAAUUUUGACCAACUAGUUUAAGUGGGUUGAGUUCAAUGAAAUAAAAUGUUGAAAAAUUAAUUUUGAAAAUGAUAAUUAUUUGACUCUUGGUUGCUACUAACGUUUUCUAUAGUUUUGACUUUCGAGUCAUAUUAAUAUAUCAUUAUGUAUAACCCUUUACUAAUUCAAACAUACAAAAAAAAAAAAAAGAUAGAUUUUUUAUAAAUUUUUUUUAGUAAUAUGAUAAAAUUUAACAUUUAAAAUUACAUAAAUAAAAAUAUUUUUAAAUAUAAGAAAAAUAAUAUAUAUAUAUAUUUUAAAAUUUAGCAAAAUAUCAUUGUCUAUGUACGAUGCACUGCGAUAGAUUAUUAUUUAUGUUAAUAGUCUAUCUAGGUCUAUAUUAUGGUUUAUCACAAAUAAUUGUAAGAAAGUAUUAAAGUUUUUUUUAUAAUUUAGAUACUGUACAUUGAUGUUUUCAAAUAUAGCAAAAUAAAUCAAAAUAUUUACAAAUAUAACCAAAUUUCAUAUAUACCACUGAUAGACUUUUAUCAAUGUCUAUGAUGUCCAUAAAUACUUAUAGAAGUCUAUUAAUGUUCAUAAUGUUGAUAAAAUCUAAAAUUUUGUUAUAUUUUAUAAAUAUUUUCAACUAAUUUGUCAUUAUAACAAUUCUCCACAUAUAUAUAAUAGUUUAAAAAAAGUGUCUCGUUCAUUUUUUAGUCUUUUAUUUGCUAAUUAAUGAAAAAUUUGACAACGUCCAAAUACAAGUCAACUCAAAUCUCAAGAGUUUGAGAGUUUGAGAGUUUAACAAUAAUUGAUCAUGAGUUGAUCCUUCACUUUGAAAGUUUCGCUAAAUUCUCAUAAUACCAAACUAAAAUGAUAUAUUCUCACGAUAUUUAUCUCGUUGUCUAAGUUAAAGUUGUUCUAACUAACAUCAGAUAAAGUCAUUGAAGGUGCCAUCAAGAAUUGUCCAUUGUAUUUAACUUGUUCCAUAUUCUUUAGACCCUUUCUAAUGAUAAUAAAGGUUUCUUUGGAGAGAAAAGAAAAAAAAAAGUUCUUUUAUUACAUAAAAACAAGUUGAUGAUGACAAAUAUAAAAAGAUAAAGAUAUAGGGAAAAAAAUAUAUUUUCUCCUCCUUUAUUUUUCCACCUCAAGUUGCACUACUUGUAUAUAUUAAGUACUUUGUAUCCAAGUUGAUUUGUAUAGACAAUUCUUUGGCCAAUAUCUAAAGUUAAUCAAAAGGCCCACAACUUUUUUUUCUUCUCACAUUAAUCUUUCCUUAUAUUUCAAGAUACCACCUUUAAAAUGAGUUUGCCAUGCAUUUUUCUUUCUGUUUGGUUGGUUUAUCAACUUUCUAUCGAAAGUUAUAUAUUGAAUGUCUGUUAACGCAUCUGAUUUACCUGUACAGAUGUAUAAAAUCAAUACAAUCCAUCAAAUCUAAAGAUAAUAGAAUAAAGGCAUUGAGGUAUUCAACUCACCAUUAGAGAAAGUUAAUUUACUUAACAUAUAUACAUUGAUAUUGUUUUCGGUAUAUGGUUAGUUGUCGUCCAAUGCUCCAUGUUAGGGUUUAUUAGUAUAUAUAUAUAUACUUAAGAGAAGUAUUAGAAUCUAAAUCGUAAUACUCAUGUAUAGAUUAGACUGCACUAUAUUGAAUACAACAUCGUAUUGUCGUACAAUAGUUUUGCGCAUCAACGUCAACAAGUUUCAAUUGAAUUUUUUUUCCCCUUUGAUGUGUAGAUCUUCCUUAUAUGAUAAAAGUGAUUUUGAACGAUUAAAAAUAUAAUUAAGGGUGAUUUUAGAGAUGAAGAAAGUUAUUUUAUUUAUUUUUAAAUCACUUUUUAAACUCUUUAAAUAAUGAUCAUAAGUUCAAAUAUAAACUAUACAAAUAGCAACUAAUUUAACGUUAAGAUAUUAUUUUUUAAUAAGUUAUGAUGAUCAUCAAAUCAUCGUAUAUUGGCUUAGUAAUAGUUGGAAACAUAACCACGACAUAUGUGUAUGUCGUCAUCAUAAAUAUUCGUGUCAAUUUCAAUCCCAUUUAAGAACUUAAAUUAUUGGUGAGAGAUAAUAUGUCAUACCUUGCCUAAUGAAAAGACAAAAACAAAAUAUACACACCUGUUAAGAUAUUAUUCCAUGAUGCUCCAAAUAUUUUCAUAUUGAUACAGCCAAUUUGAACAUUAUUGUAAGAUGGAAAAAAAGAGAUGAAAAUUUCUAUGUGAAGAACCCUUACAAAAAUAAAAUAAACCUAAUUUGAUUACAAUGUUUCGAAAACCAUAAAAAAUCUUGAAAUUUAGGCUAACUUCAAACAAAACUCAUCAAUAGUACAUAUAAAAACUUUGGAUGAUGAGAUUUUUUUUCUUCCAUUUUUUAUAUUUCUUUAGAUGAAGUAGCUGACAAUGUUGUAUUUUUCCUUUCCUAUUUUUAUGCUAAUUAAGUGAAUUAUUAGGCUAAAGAUAAUUUAUGAAUAACUAAUAUUUCAAAAAAAUCGAAAGUCUUUUCAACUUCUAAACAAUAUGAUUUACUUAUGUUAAUUGUAACUAAUUGAACAAUUUUAUAGUUAAGGAAAUCAAAAGUUCAAUCUCUUCUAAAUGAAAAGAAUUAAUAAUUAAAUGAAUUAUCACAAAUUAACAUUUAAAAAUUCUUAAAUAUGGAUGACUCUAAAAUUCUUUUUCUACAUAUGAGUUUGUACACAAUUUGGAUAGCCUUCCAAAGAAGAAAUAUCUCACCUCAGUUUUAUUGCAUGUUUCUAGUCGUUGGUUGAUCGUUUCCUUUCUAUUUUUUUUUUCUUUUUUUGAUUUUUUAUGCUUUUCUAAAUGUGUUAUUUUAAAAAAUAUUUCUCUUGAAAAUAGUUUACAUUUCAUCGAUGUUUCAAGUUGAUACAUAAAACAUGCACUCUAUAAAUCUUCAUUAGUCGUUGAGUGUUUGAUCUAUCUACUCAUCUAUGGACUAGGCUGAUCAAAUCGAGAAGUUAUUGGGUUUGACAGAAGAAAUCCAUAAAAAUCAAUAAAAAUAAAUGCAUAUGAAAGGCGGUACAAAAAACAUUCUAUUAAUAGAAAAAUAUAUCUUUAAUUGAUAGUAAGUGAUUUAUAAAGUUAUUGUUAUGUUUUUAGAAGAAGAAAAACAUCUCAUCAAUUGACAUCUGAAUAUCUACACGAAUAAAACUUUGGAUUUUCCAUCUUCUCUUGAUUUGUGUUUUUUAUUCAUUCAUCAACUUUCCUCUAGUAUUUAGUAUUGUAAUUAAAUCAAUGUAGUAUAGCUAAUUUAUUUUCUAACGGUUGUAAAUUAAAGUAGAAUUGUCUAGCAAUCAUUAUAGCAUUCAAAUUUCAAAACUAUUUAAUUACAAAAUAUAAAUGCCACGUGUUAAGAACUAGUUUGUUAAAAAAAUGCAAGAAACUAAAAAUUGUCAUCAUAUUGUUUCUAAAUUCUAUGCGCCUCAAACUAAAUUGGUGUUUGAUGUGCAAGGCUAAUUUAAUGAAUCCACUAAUCAUCUUUUUCUCUCUUUGUCCUAUUGCUCAAUAUCUCUCAAACUGGAUUGAAUCUUCUUUGGACUCGACAACUUCUUUCCACUCUCGUAGCUACUUCGGCACACUCAACAUAUGAAAAGAUAACUUCAACUUCAUCAGGUUGUGGACAUCUAAAAGCAAUCUCUUCUCUAAUUAUUCAUCAUCUAUAUCAUUUCUUUGAAUAUCAUUUUUGUAAUUUCUUUUAUCUAGAUGUGCUUGAGUGCGCCAGUUGGUAUUCUUUUAAAACAAUUUGUAUCAUAUAACAAUUUGUUUAAUUCUUAUCCUAACCAAUAUUCUGGACAAAAUCUAAAAACCGCAAGCAAUAGAAAUUAAAUAGGUAUGGGAAUUGUUUUCAGCCACUAAAUUUUGAAAAUAUCUAUUUUAACUAUUCUUCAAACAGCUCUAAUAAAUUUAUAGAGACUGAAUAACAAAGAUAUCAACCUUGGAAAUAACAACAAUACCACAUCAUUCAACCAUGCUUUGCUUUAGAUUGACUUUAUCAACAUCUCUGAUUUUGUUCAAUAUUUCUUUUAAUUUAAGUAACAUUCAAAUCUACACUUCAAUUAAUCUCCAUAGAUUGAAUAAAUAUUUACUUCAAUAGUCUCAAAAUUAAAUCCUUUAUGUCACACAUUUUCUUUCUUUAAUUAAAAAAAAUUAAACUCUUGAUGUAUAUUAAGAUAAACAUUGUCGUAAUUGAGUAAGUAAUUUAUAAUUAUAAUAUGUUUAGGUUGGUUGAUUAAACAAAAUUAACAAAAACAAAAUUUUGAUUGAAACUGUAAACUCUGAUGAUCUAUUCAUUCUAUUCGACUUUUGUUGUUGUCGAGAUUCAGAUUGGAAAAAAAAAGAAAAAAAUUAGAGAGCGAGAUUAAGAUCCAAAGAAACGUCCCCAUUUUUCACUUUCUUUUUAUUCUUCAUCGGCGCCGUUGUUGUCGUCGAUGCCGCCGUGGUAUCUCUUUUAACAAGAUUACAACAAGGGUUGGGGGGAAGAGUACUCAAGGCCUGAAAUUCCUCAUCAAAAUCCUCUCUCUCAAACUUGGGAAUCCAAGUAGACCGAUUCUCCACCAUUUCCGCCGCCCUCAUCCUCUUCCUCCUCUUCUCCCCCGCGGCGAUUUCCUCCUCCCCCUCCUCUUGUCCGAUAUUCAACUCCUUCCUCCGCUGAUCACGCAUUUCCUUCAAACUCCUCACCAAAGCGAAAAACCUCUCCAUCUCCUCAUCCUCCAAGGAGUCCUCCGCGGUUGUGUCCGGCGACGGCUGUAGUUUCCCGUUUUCCAUAAUUAAACAAUGGAAAAGGUUUCCACGCGGUGUUUGCGUCUCUAAUUUUGUUUUCUUUUUAAAAAUAAAAAAUAAAAAAUUCGCAUGGGAGUGGCGUUGUUUAUAAGGUGAUAGAGGUUGAAGGUGAAAGACGAGAAUAGGCUCCACAUAGCGGCGGGGUUAUAUGUAAAUAAAUGAGGGUAGUUAAGUAAUUAAAGGUAGAGAAGUAAUAAUAAUAAUAAGAAGAAGAAGAAGAAACAACAAUAAUGGGAGUCGUUGCGGGUCAUGAUUUUGGUGAAGACCUUUGACAGAACGUGAAGGCUUACAACAUGUGUGUGACGUGUAAAGAUGACGUCAUUAUUUGUUGUACUGGAAGUU